GAGAGAGAGAGAGAGAGAGAGAGAGAGAGAGAGAGAGUCCAACUUGUAUGAUUAACCGUGUUACCAAAUUUUUUUCGAUGAUGGAACAUUCGAAUCGACGAUCGCUUCGAUUAGCCAUGAUCUAUGGUAUUGGAAGUAUUUACAAACUAAAUUUUAUAUUUUUUUCGGCAUCAUUUGAUUAGUGAUAAAAAAAAAUCUCAAAAUUGAAAAUUUAAAUAAACGAUGUGAUAUAUUUGUAAGCUUAACAGUAUAGAAGAAUUCAAAUUCAGUAAAAUUUUGAUAAAAAAUAUUUUUACUAUUUAGAGUACGAUUAAUAUCUAUGUUAUGAAAUUUACUUAUUUUAUGAGAUUUUUAUUUUCAACUGUUUUAUUUUGAGAUUAUUUAUUUUAAAAGAUAAAUAAUAUUGAAAAAUCAUAAAAUUGAUUAAUAGAUAAUUGAAAUAGUAUAGAGCAUAUCUUAUGAAGCCGAUCGUUAAUUCGAAUGUCUCGUAAUUGAAAAUAACUUGAUAGUACAAAAAUUCAUGUAUUAUAUAUACAGAGUUGAGCUAAAAUGAUAUUAAUAGCAAACGAAAUAUUCUUUUGCCACCCAUUUAUUUUUAAUAAUGAAGUUUUUAAAUCGAUGAUCGGCUCCAUUAAUUAAAUAUGAUAUAUACCAUUGGAAUUUUUUAGAAAUCAAAUUUUAAAUCUUUUCGACAUCAUUUGCUUAACGAUAAAAAAGUUUCAAAAUUUAUAAUUUUAAUGAUCGAUAUGAGUCGUUUUUUUGUUUUACGGCGUAAAAAUAUAUAAAUUAAUUAAAUUUUUGUUAGAAAUUCUUUAAACUAUUUAAAAUAAAAUCUAUACUUUUGAUCUUGAUUACAAAAUUCCUAUCAUCACUUUUUAAAGAAUAUUCAUUUUCAACCGUUCAUUUUGUGUCUACUUGAUGAAUAAGAGAACAAAAAAUCAUGAGAUUUAAUUUUUAAAUACUUCAAGUAGUAUAGAUCAUAUUCAAUGGUACCGAUCGUCGAUUUAGAGGCUUCAUCAUAAAAAAAAUAAAUGGAUGAAAACGGAAUACGUUUGCUAUCAAUAGCAUUUCAGCUCCUCUCUCUCUUUAUAUAUAUAUAUAUGGAGUUGAGUUAGAAUAAUCUCAAAAGCAUCAAGGGGCGGUACUUUUGAGUUUUUAACCAUUGGAUAAAAGAUGUAGGGUUGAGAUGAUGAUGGUAGGUGGUGGUAGGUGAUGGUAAGUGAAAUAGUGUUUGAUCCAAGGGGUAUUUGUAAUUAAGGAAUACGGAUCUAAGGGCUAGAAACUUAAAAGUAUUAAGGGAUUGGUGCUUCUAAAAGUAUUCUAGCUUAUGUCACUAUCUUCGAGAAAAAAGAAUAAUCUCUUUUGGCCCUUUAUAGCGAAUCAUACCACCGAUGAAAAUGAAACGCGAGAGCCAAAUUAAUCCAAAAAUCUCCCAAACCCCAACCAUGAGUCUCUUACAAGCCGUACACAUAAUUAGGUGAGACAUAUAUGGUCCCCCGCCCAAAUGGGUUUCUGGGCCUCACGGAUCGCCGUCCGUCAGAUCGAGAUCCGGCAUCCGCGGGCCCCCACCAUCGAUGGUCCACUGAUAAUCCUGUACUACCCACCUAGGUCGUACACAUAGGAUUAUUGAUGUAGAUGAUAUAUUAAUACCACUAAACAACCAAUUUAGGGGAAUAAUUGCGGGGACCGCCACGCUAACGGCCAUGUAGCAUGGAUGACGUUGUGAAUAGCCAGCCUCCUAAUUGGAAUCUUGUAUGAGGAAAUUUUGAUUAAACAAUGUGAUUAAAAUAAGUGAUUAGCGUAAAACCAUGCGAUUAUGCUACUCAUUACAGUUGUACUUAACCUGGCACUAUAGAUCUCCCCUUUUUAUUUAGGUAAAAAUGUAUAGAGAAAAGGCAUGCAUUCUGAAAUAGCCCCUUAUAUUUCAAUUAAAAAUUUAAUUGAAUUUAAUGAUGAUUUGUUAGAUUUGUUUUAUGGAAUUAAUACUCUCCAAUUCAGAUAACUGAAAUAAUUCAAAUCAUACGAAUUGAAAGAUAAAAUGUGCCAAUCCAGUUAAAAAUAUAUAUAUAGUUUGAAGAUUUAUUAUAUAUGGGUAUAAGAUCGUAACGUAUCACUCAACUAUGGGUUGGAGUGAGCUUUCCAAGGUGGUCCAGUUAAAACUAGCUAGCUAACUUAAUAAGGAACACCAUAUUUCUUAUUUAAUUACUCAUUAUGUAGGACUUAAUAUAAUCAAGCUGUUUAAUUUGUCCAUAUAUGCCAUGUGGGAUCCACGUACUUCAUAUUAUCCGUAUCUCGAUUAUGCCUUUUCUUACUCGAUCGACAUGUAAUCACUCUUUAAUUUUGAUUCGCUUACUGUUUGUGGUGACUUAUCAUUGGUGUUCUCCCAAUAGAUGCAACUUUUGAGCCUUAGUUUGGUAUUGUGGUCCAUACGAUGCUAUUAGAUAAAAUAGAAUUUGGGUAAAAGCAUAUAGAGAAAUGCUUUUGCAUUCUUCGAUGGGAUCGUAGAAAAUAUAUUAUAACCGGCUCAUCGCGAUAUGCGAAACGCAAUAUUACGUACGAAAACAAACAAGAUAUUUUUCCAUCGUACUUUCUCACCGUACGUAACGCAAUCUCCUUGCAAUCUCAAACGAAACCUAAUUAUUGUAAAUGCUAUUAAUAGAAAAAAAAUAAAAAGAAUAAUUGAUCCGAGAUGUAAAUUUGUCAAAAAAUAAAAAGAAUAAUCAAUCCGAGAUGUUAAUUUGUCUUUCUGCUAAGAGAAACUUAACUAAAACUAAUUUUUUUAAACAUAAUUUCAAUAUAAAAUUAUUAUAUUAUUUCUAAAUAAUUUUUUUAUUAUCUCAUGUGAGAUAAUAUAUAUAAUAUUGUAUUAUUAUAUAUUAUAUACAUAUACAGUAUAUGUAUAUUAUAUAUAUAUAUAUACAAUACAAAUAUGUUAUAGAAUAAUUUCAUAGAAGCCCUCUAGAAACUAUUAAUUUCUCAAUACCCUUCCAAAAUUAAUAAGUAUCACGAAAAAUACCCUCCAAAAUGUGAAAAAUAUCAUAAUACCCAUCCUCUUUGAUAGUUCAAGAUUCAUUAAAGCCCAUUUUUAUCGGAAGAGUUAAAUUUUUAAAAUACCAUUUACCCCUUUAUCUCUUUUUAAUAGUAAAAUACUAAAUAGGUAUUUCAAAAUAAUUUUUGUAAAUCUAAAAUUUGAGUAUUUAAUAUAUAAAUAGUUACAUUAAAUUAUUAAUAGGAUAUUAAUGAAUAAAAAAUAUAUAAAGAAUUAUAUUUUAAAUAUUAGUAGGUUUUGAUUGAUUGGUUUUUUGCGUUUUGGGGUUUCGUUAGAUCGGUUUAAAUAUUAGACCAAAAAAUAUAUAACUGAAUUUACAUACGACCGGGAUUUUAUUUUUUUGGAUCUAUAACUAAAACUAUCCCUAUUCGCAUGGAUUAAAACUGUAUGCCAUUUCUAAACGAGUUUAGAUAAAAUUCGUAUCUAUAUCAAUCACAUUCCUAAUUAGUAAUGAGUAAUUUUGAAAUAAAUUAUAGAUUUUAUUUUUUCCUAUUAAAAAUAAAUCACAUACUGUUUGUUCGAUUGAAAUUAAAAGAGAGUUUGGCUUCAAAACGCUAAAAAUAUUAUUAUUUUCAGUUUUUUAAUACACUUAAUGCCAGAUAAAAUUAUCGAAAUAAUGGUUGAUUAAAAAAAUUUUUAAGUUUUCAAGAUUAAAGAAAGAAUCGGACUAAUCUAACAUUAUUGUUCAUUUAUAAUUCAUAUAUAUAUUAAUUUAUUUGCAUAAAAAAGAAAGUAGAGCCAUUAGAUUUGUAAAAAAUCAAUCAAAAAAAACUAAAAAAAUUCUUUUUUUAUACACUUGAAAUUAGUUUUUUUUAACAAUGGUAAAAAGUGUUAAUGCGAAGCGGUAUCAACGGAAAAAAUGAAAGUUGAGGAGCCCACCCACCCCCCCUGAUUUCAAAAUGCAUAUAGUUGAGGGCGGGUCACACCAUCUUUAGUAAAAGAUAUGUGCAGCCCGCACCAACCCCCAAACCACGGUAAGGUUAAUAAGGCAUCAGUUUAAAUUAACCAAUCUACCUGAAUAAACAUAGUAAAACUAACCUAACUACAGUAGGGGGUAUAAUGAUAAUUUUUUGUUGUAUAAGGAUAUUGGUGGAUAUUUUAAAACUUUAUAGGGCAUCUAUAUAUUUUAACUUUGGGAGGUGGUAUCCCAUGAAAUUGCCCCAUAUGUAUAUAUACUAAUAUACAUGAUAUACAUGAUAUAUGUAUACAUAUACAUGUAUAUAUAUACAUUAUAACACCCAUGUAUAUAUAUAUGUAUACAUGUAAUUAUAAUACAUGUAAUAUAUUACAUGUAUAACAUAUUAUAUAUACAUGGUGUAUAUAAUGUAUAGUAUAAUACAUGUAUUAUUAGGUAUAUAUGUACCAUAUAACAUGUGUAUAUAUACAUAUAUACAUGUGUAUAUGUAUAUAUAUAUGUAUAUAUUACAUAAUACAUGUGUCAUAUAUAUACUUAUAUACAUGGUAUAUCAUAUACUAUAUAUAAUUCAGAUAUUAUGUACAUAUAUGUACAUAUACAUAUGUAUCAUAUAUACAUUAUUAGUAUGUCAGUAUGUAUAUGUACAUAUAUACAUGUAUAACAUGUAUAUAUAUAUAUAUGUAUCAUAUAUACAUGUAUAUACAUGUAUAUACAUGUAUAUAUAUAUAUACAUAGUAUUAUGUACAAUAUGUACAUAUAUGUGCGACAUUAUAUGUCACUAUUAUAUGUACUAUAUAUAUGUACAUAUAUAUCGUACACAUAUAUGUUACAUAUAUUAGUAACAAUAUUACACAUUACUGUACAUAAUGUGUACAUAUAUAUGAUACAUAUAUGUAUAUAUUAUAUACAUAAUUGUACAUAUAUGGUGUACACAUAUAUGUAAUAGAUAUAUUAUAUAUAUAUAUAUAUUAUUAUAUAUAUACUAUAGUGGUCUGGUUUAGGUUUCUAGAAGCACGGAGCUCCAUACUUUCAAGUUGUUUUCGAUGUUCGACUUUCGAAUCGACGAUCGGCUCCAUAAACUUGAGUAGCAGUAUUUUGAACUAUUUAGAAAAUACAAUUUAUAAUUUUCGAAUUAUUUGCCUAGGUGACGAAGCUGGCUCAAAAUCAACGGCUGAAAAAAAAAUCUUACAAAAUAUAAUAAUAUGAAUUAAAAUUUUAGAUCAAGUUAUAUUCUUGUUUUAUAUGGGUAUAAAAAGAAUUUGCUUAUCAAACAUUUCAUGGCGAUUGCAUAGUUAUACAGCCGUUAAACUUACAAAGGCUUACCACGGCAUUAAUAUAAUUUGAGCCCCUUCAUCCUAGGCAAAUGAAAUCGAAAAUAACAAAUUAUUCUAAAUACUUUAAUACUAGAUCAACUCUACGGAGCCAUCGUCGAUUCGAAAGUACGAACAUCGGAAACAAUUGGAAGUAGCGGAGGGCUCCGUAUUUCAGAAAAUCCACCGAUAUAUAUAAUAUAAAUAUAUAUAUAUAUUAUAUAUUAUUAAUAUAUAUAUGAUAUAUAGUCCGGCUAGGAUACUAUCGAUGCCAAGGAUUUGGUCUUAUCAGUUUUCCACGUUAAUUUAAACCCUUGAUAUUUUACCGUUAGAUAAUAUAUUCAACAACGCACUCACUCACAUAAGGGCCGCCACAGUAUCAUAACACACAUAUUCUCAAUUCAAAGGCUAAAAAAUGAAUAGCACAAUAGUUUGUGCUAUUGAUAGUAUUCCAACAUAGUGUAUAUAUAUAGAAUUGAAGCAAGAAUACUUUUUAGAAGCGGCACGAAGGGCAGGGCUUCUAAUUUCUUAGUCUUUGAUCUACUCGCUUAAUUCAUCAUAUCCUUUGGAUGCAAAUACUAUUCCACCUCACCACCACUACACCACCACUCAACCGCCAUCAUCGUCUCCAUCAGAUACUUAAAAACUCAAAAACACCACCCUUGUGCUUUGGGAGUAUAUAUUAUAGUCAACUUAUAUAUAUUAUAUAUAUACCCUAUAUAGAGAAGAGAGAGAGACAGAGAGAGAGAGAGAUGGAGAGACGUGAGAGAGAGAGGGAUGAGGCCCUGGCGGCUCUCCCUUCUUUCGACUAAACAUACUGCUUCAUCUAACAGCAUCUCCCUGUUGCCGUCGAGUCGACCGAGCCUCCUUAUGAGCAUCGAGAGAAAGAUGAACGAGCAGGCCUGUUGAAUGCUCUCAGGAGCACGGAGGCCUCCGUGCUCCGAAGCCGCGUUUCGAGAAUAGACAAUUGUUUCGAUUCGCACGAUCCGCUCCGUUAGACUUGAUCUAGCGCAUUUGAAGUUUCUAGAAAAUAAUUUUUGCGAUUUUUUGAUAUCAUUUACCUAGUGAUUGAAAGGAUUCAAAAUCCAUAAUUUUUAAUGGUUGAUAUCUGCCAUUUUCAAGUUUAACGGUGUAGAAGUAUUCAAAUCAGAUGAAAUUUUGAUACAAAAUUCUUUAUACUAUCUACAACAAGAUCAAUAUUUCUGAUCGAAAAUUUUAGUGUUAUAUCACCACUUUUUAUAGGAUUUUUAUUUUUAGCCGUUAAAAAUUAUUGAUUUUUGAAUUAUUUCGACUACUAGGUAAAUGAUAUCGAAAAAUUGCAAAAAUUAUUUUCUAGAAACUUCAAAUACGCUAGAUCAAGUUUAACGGAGCCGAUCGUCCAUUCGGAAACUCCAUCAUCGAAAACGACUCAGGAGCACGGAGGCCUCCAUAUAUGCUCAUGAGAGCACAACAACCCUGCUCCAUAUAUAUAUAUAGGCUUGGGCUACUAUACUCUUAUGAGUAUAGACCUCCUUAUACUCAUAAAUUUUUAACCGUUGAUUGAUGGGACGUAUGGUUAGGAUGAUGAUGGCCCCCACUUAAAAUGAUAGUGGUCCCCUAGGGUUGAGUGGGUAGUUGGUUGAAUAAUAUGAUCUAACGGGUGAAAAUGAUCAAUGGAAUAGAUCUAAGGGCCGAAAACUUAUGAGUAUAAAGAAGUCAAUACUCAUAAAAGUAUAGUAACCGGACUAUGUACUAUUAUAUAUAUAUAUAUAGUAUAUAUAUACGUAUAUAUAUUACAUAUAUAUAUAGUUAUAUGAUGUAUGAUUAUAUUAUGUAUGUUAUAGUAUAUAAUAUAUAAUUAUAUGUAUAUAAUAUAUAUAUGUAUAUAUAUAUACAUAUAUAUACUAUUACAUAACAUUAUAUUAUCAUAUAUGUACUAUACAUAUUACAUUAUAUAUAUAAUAGUUAUAUCAUACAUUAUAUACAGGUAUAUAUUACUAUAAGUAUACAUAUAUAUAUACAUAAUAUAUAGUCUGGCUAUGAUGCUUGUAAAAGCACCAAGCAUUUGGUAUUUGUAAAUUUUUUACCGUUAGAUUUGUGACUUGGUCAUUUUACCCGUUAAAUGCAUACUAUAUAUUCAAUCAACCACCCAUUCAACCGCUAGGGGGGUCCAUAUCAUCCUAACCAUACAUUCUUAAUCAACGGCCGGCGAAAAAUCUAUAAGCACAAUAAACUUGCUAUUCUUAAUUAAAAGCAAUAGGAGCCUCAAUUUACACACAUCACACACACAACAUAUAGUUUAUAUAUAUAUAUAUAUAUAAUAGUGGAGCUAGAAUACUAUUAGUAGUAAAUGAAUUUCGUUGUCACCCAUUUAUCUUAGAUGAUAGAACUUUCAAAUCGACGAUCGGUAUCAUUGAAUAUGAUCUAUAUCACUUGAAGUAUUUAUAAAUUAAAUUUUAAAUUUUUCGACAUCAUUGGCGUAAUAAUUAAAAGAUUUCAAAAUUUGUAAUUUAGUGGUAGAUAUAAGAUGUUUUUUUGUUUAACAAUAUAAAUUUUUCAAGCUAUUUAGAAGAAGAUCUAUACUCUUGAUUUGGAUUACAAGAUCUCUAUCAUUACUUUUUGCAGGAUAUUUAUUUUCAACCGUUCAUUUUUAUUUCUACUAGAUAGAAAAAAAAAUAAUAUCAAAAAAAAUAUAAAAUUUAAUUUUUUAAAUACUUUAAAUAAUAUAGAUUAUUUUUAAUAAUGUCAAUCACCGAUCACCAAUUUAAAAUUUUCAUCAUCAAAAAUAAAUGGACAGCAACAAAACCUGUAUUUGCUACGGAUAGUUUUCCAUCUAAACUCAUACCCCAAAAAAUGGUUACGGGUUCAUGUGAUGUACUUGCUUGGAUAGGACUACUUUAUUACAAGCUCGUGUGUGAACGGUCAACACUAAGUACGUACUCUAUAUUAAAAUAAUAAUAGGGAAUUAAAACAAAAAAAUUAAACUUGAAAUACAAUAGGAAAUGCAAAAAAAAAAAAAAAAAAGGCCAUCGAAAAGGACUUGAGGAGAGGAAAAGUUGAUUCCCAAGAUAUAUCUCGAUAUCCAUGGCAGAGGGGAAUCAAUGAACAGUAAAAGUGGGGACAAAUCCUUGAUGGACCCUCUCAUUGCCUUGGGGAGAAACCUAACUCGAUCUCCCCCUCUCUCUCAUUUUCUCACUUUAGAUGCUAAUUAUAACCUACUAGUUCUUGUGCCUCAUCAUUCAUAUAUGAACUGUUAAAAGUGCUUCAAUCAACCCAAAAAAGUUUAGAUUAUAGGUAAAAGAAAAAAAUAAAUUUUUUUUUAGAGAUAAAUAGCAUGCUAUUCGCUUCGUUUAUUUCAUUUAAAAAUAAAUUUAGCUGAAAAUGUGAAUCAACUAAAAUUCGAACUUGAAACCUCGAAUACCAGCCACCAAAUUUUUUGUCACUUACUUCAGAGACGGUCAGUACCGAAAGAAAAAAGUUCUCACAUCUAUUCUCAUAUCCACCCUGGGAUUAAUUAAUAUUCUUAAUUAACUUAUCCCUUUAACACGUGUGAGAGGCCCUACAAGUACAUGACAUGAAUCUAUUGCGGUUAUAUAACCAAAGCAAAAUGAUUGAAACAUGGCUAAACUAAAAAUAAUUGGGCUAAAAAUAAGAGAAGCAUGAAUGCAAUUCUAAUAUAUAAAUAUUAAAAAUAUUACUAUCUAUUUUUCAUAUUUUUUAACACAUAUCAAAACAGAAAGUUUCGAGUUUGAAAAUUUCUUCUUAUUUUUGCAGAACAUCAUGAAAGUAAUUGUCCUAGUUACCCAAAAAAAAAAAAAAAAAUUGUUUCCUUUCUCCUUUCUUCUAGUAAGAUAUAUAUAUAUAUACAACAAGAGCAAACGAUUGAAGGAGAGCGAAAACCAAGAUAUAUAUUAGCAAAAUUAUGUACCGAGGUGUGAGGAUAUGUAUGAGGCGAGAGUGGACAGAAACCUAGGGAAAGGGAGUUUCAGCCUUAUAUGUGACAGGUGAAGUUGCAGUGGAAAGGGAGGAAGAAGCUUAAUAAGCGUCUCUUCUCUCUCUCUCUCUCUCUCUCUCUCUCUCUCUCUCUCUCUUUUGUUGCUCAUUACUCUAACCAAGUUGAUAAGCAUGCAUGGCACUCACAUGUGAACCCUUCCCAGCCCUCAUAUGAACAUGCCACUGUACACGCUUGCUUACUUGGCUCUCCCUCUUUCUCUCUCAAGAACUAUUACAGGACACGUUGAGGCCCUGACCCUACUCCCACUUUGUUUAGAUAUAUAGCCUUUUCACUGUGCAUCUCAUCUUCAUUUCUCAUCUUCAUUUCUCACACAUCUAAUUAGAAUGUACCCCAAAACUUAAUUAAGGGAUCGAAAUGCCUUUAAAUCUCCUACUAUGUUGUGUUCAACUACAUGCAUGUUAUAUAAAUUUAUGAAGACAUCAAUCUAAGUUGGUAACCAAAACAUUUCCCUCAAGUUUUCUUUUCUUUUUUUCCCUUUUUGAGAAUGAUAUUAUGUUUCAGCUUUGUUUUUUAGAAAUAAAUAUGAAAUAAAUAAAUUUGAAUUUAAAAGUUUAAAUACUAACUAACAAAUCUUUUAUCACUUGCAUUUAAAAUGGUCGAAAUUUCUCUCUAGUUUUGGCUCUCCUUUUAUCUAAGUUUGGACCGAGCUCCUGACACCAGACCAAAUCAUAGCCUAAUCAGAACAAAACCCAACCCUCACUCCCUUCCUACUCUCUCCACUUUUCCAUGGUGUUCAUAUGAUCAUAUUUACUCUUAUGCCCCUCCAAACGCAUACAAACACAAAACCCCUCACCCUCAACUCACCACCCCACCCCAUGUUACUUGUUCCUCUCUCUCCCCCUCCCUCCCCUCCUUCCCCUCACGUGGCACCAUCCCUUUGUUUUUGUUCCAUUCUAUAUAAUCUCCUUUAUAAGUCCCCCCAAACCCACCUCUUCCUCUUCCUCCUCUUCUCGUUAAAAAGCUGAGUUGGGUCUCUGUGUGUUUGUUCCUAUCUACAGUUCUCUCUUCCCCCCCCCCCCCCNCCCCCCCUUCUGAAGUGGGUGAGUAUAUAUGGCUUUAGAAGCGGUGGUGUUCCCACAUGGGCUCUUGGGUUACACCAUGAAGGAGCUUUGCUCCAUGGGGGGAGGAGGAGGAGGAGGAGGAGGAUGUAGCCAUGGCGAACUUGGUUGGUUUGAAGAGGAGGAGGAGAAAGGGGUGCUUUUGGGUUACUUAGAGGAGGGUGGUGGUGGUGAUGAACAAAGUGGGAAAAGAAAGUGGGAUGUGAAUUGGGUGGACACUUCUUGCUCCUCAAUGGUGGGGGUUUUUGAGGAGUGGGAUAACGUGAAUUCGCUGUCGCCGCCACCGGAGCCGGCUGGGGGGCGGCGGAAGAGGCGGCGCAUGAAGAGUAUCAAGAACAAGGAGGAGGUGGAGAACCAGCGUAUGACCCACAUUGCCGUCGAGCGCAACCGCCGCAAGCAGAUGAACGAGUACCUCGCCGUCCUCCGCUCCAUCAUGCCCCCUUCCUACGUUCAAAGGGUACAAUUUCUUCACCUAUCAGCUUAAGCUUUUAGAAUAUUGGUCCUACAUACGUACGUAGGAGCGUUCCUUUUCUCUUCAUCUAAUUGCUCUUUUUAGUCCCUUAAAUACUUGAAUAAGUUAUUCAGUAAUAACAUAUAUUAAAGCAGUUUCUUCUUGAGUUAGUUAAUUUUAAUAUAUUUCACUCUUUUCAUAAGGGAGAUGCGCCAAUCAUGCCCUAAAAAGUUUCUAAUGAGAGUCAAGGUGACAGCUCCUUUGGUUCGUAAUUUUGGCAGAGAAUCUAAAAUACAAACUGUUGCAGUGCCUGAAAAGCUGAACCAUUUUGUCCCACGUGUUUGUAUAUAUGCUUCGUGCCUAAACUUAUUGUCGGAACUAAUCAAAUCUCUUUUUCAUCAUCUAAUUAUUUUUAAUUACUUCGUGUGAUUAAACUAUAACAGGGUGAUCAAGCAUCUAUCAUAGGGGGCGCCAUAAAUUUCGUGAAGGAGCUCGAACAGCUCCUCCAAUCCCUCGAGGCCCAGAAGAGAAGUAACGAGCAACAUUCCGAAUCCGCGCCGUUCGCCGAGUUCUUCACGUUUCCCCAGUACUCGUCGUACACCGCGCGAAGCCCGAAUGCCACUGCCGCGAUGGUCGCGAACGAAUCGGCGGCCGCGGCGGAGGAGGCGAAGGGGUCGGCGGCGGCGGCGGAUAUCGAAGUGACGAUGGUGGAGAGCCACGCGAAUUUGAAGGUGCUCGCGAAGCGGCGGCCGAAGCAGCUGCUGAAGCUGGUGGUGGGGCUGCAGAAUCUGCGGCUCACCACGCUGCACCUCAACGUGACCACACUUGAUCGAAUGGUCCUCUACUCGUUUAGUCUCAAGGUAGUAGCAGUAGUAGUAAUACUAAUGAAGCUCACUUUCGUUAAUCUCUUAGUUAAAAAGUAAUUUCUAUUUGAUUGGUAAUAAUCGGGUAAUUAAUAAUAGUGGUAAUACAAUCACUUGAGUGUGGUGUUCAUUCACGUGCACUUGCACUGAAAGAAAAGAUAAUAAUACAGAUAAAUGACGUGAAUUUAUAGCUCUUUUGUGGGCGAUCAAAAUUGUGAGCUGAAGAGUCCGUUUGAUGAAGCACCAAACUCAUAAGAUCCUCCGAUCCCGUACUCACAUCCUUAUAGAUCUCAGGCUCUCAAUUUUGGCCAGGUGACCGAUCGUUUCUAGCACAGUUAGCUAAGAAUUUGAUGGCUGGUACUCGAGGUAUUAAAUUCAAAAUAUAAUUAUCUCACAUUUUUAAUUAAGUUUAUAAUUUUUAAGAAAUAAACAAAGUAAAUAAUAUGCUAUUUUUUCCUCAGAAAAAAAAAAAAAAGGCCAUCUAGAUGCUUUCAAACAACCUCUUAAAACCAUCAAAUUUGGCCAUCUAGAUACUUAAUUUAGUGAAAUGGUUUAGGUGCUAAUUUUGAUACCAUACUAUCAAAAAGAUCAAUCAGAUAUUAUAUAGAUCAUAAUUUAUGAAUAAUAUUCGCAAAUUUUAAGUGCUGUUUAUUAGUCAUUAUUUGCCAUAAAUGGCCAUAUAUGUUAGUAAGGUGCUCUCUCAUUGAUAUUUUGUGUCGACUUUUUUUGGGGUGGUGUAGGUGGAAGAUGAUUGCCAACUCUCCUCAGUCGACGACAUCGCGGCCGCAGUUCACCACAUUGUCGGGAAAGUUGAAGAGGAGGCGGCCAUGUUGUAAUUACCAAACUUAUUAACUUGCUUGUAAUCCAUCCUAACCAUAAAUGCGUCGCAAUCUCUCUUGGCUUUUAGUCAGCAAAUGUUUGUUAAUUUGUGCUUUACUUUUGCUGAGAAUAUGCAUGGUUUGGAUGCAAGUAAUGUCUAAGCCUACGUGUAUAACGAGUUUUUGUUCCUUUUGUUAAUUAGUCUCUCUCUAAGAUAAUAAUGAAUGGGCAUUCCAAAAGGGUAAAAUUUCGAUAAAUUUAUCAUUGAUUGGGAAAAGAUUCUGGGAAGAGGGUCUUUUUCAUGUUGGUCCAUUUUCAGAGUCUAAACCCUGAAUGAUUAAAUGGUGGAAGAAACCCUGCCAUGCUAUGAUUCAUCUCUUAUCAUGAGGUCUUUUUACAAUAAUGAUUAGAACAAUACCCGUACAAUUGAACAGGAACAUAUAUAUAGCAGAGAGAGAGAGAGAGAGAGAGAGAGAGAGAGAGAACAUAUAUAAGAGAGAGGUGGGAUGGGGUGCUUGAGAAAAAAUAUUUAAUUUAUUGCGGCACCUAAUCGUUUUGCACGUUUAACUAGCUCAAAUCUUAAAGCAACAUGAACAACGGUGAAGAAUGUCGCUUUUACCAUACAAAUAACUCGUACAAUGGGGCAACAUAUAAUGUUUGCUUGUGCUCAAUUCGAAUCUCGCCAAAGGUAAGAGUGGGAUGAUCUUUCACCUUUUCUUAAAACCGUUCAUUUUUUGCUGUGCCAAUAGUGUGAGCAGGAAUUUUCUAUUCACCUAAUAACAAAGAAGCUACUGUCAUAGUUCAGUAAGCAAAUAGUUCUUGUAGAAGCCCAUAUGCUAUUUCUUUCUAGCGUUUGUUGUUACCUGUGCACGUGUACGGACAAAGAAAGGAGAGUACUCGCCCAAAAAAGCAGUAAACCAAGAUUCCAAACCAAGUAAAUGAUGAUGCAGUUUAUCUCCCCGUAUAUUUAAAAGAUUGCGAGGUAAACUAUUUGUGAUUUUCUUUUUGUUUUGGUUUUAUUUGAACGUGUACGGCCAAGUAAUUUUGAUUGCUCACCAGAAUCACAUUUGGAGUGCCCAAUAGAGAGAAAAAGAUACACAUCUCGGAGAAGUAUUAAACUCGAUCAUAUACAUGAGGAGCCAAUUGCAAGUUAAAUAAUUCGGAAUCAAGUGUUUAACUCUGAAGAUUGUUCGGUACAUGAAUGAAUAACCUGAAAUUCUUCAGUCAAAAUAAAAAACAAAACUCGAAAAAAGAACACGAUCACAUGAAAUUAUGUGAAAACUUAAUGCGGUUCUGCUUUCUAUCAAGAGCUAUGAGAAUCACCAUAUUAUAACAUAACAUCCGAUCUGUUGAAAAGAAGAACAAAGUGUUUCGACACUUAAAAAAGACCACAGUAUGAAAGGAAUCCUUUACAGAGUGGCCCAGAACAUUUGUUUGGAGAAACAUGCCAAGAACUGCUACAUCAUAUGGAUCUCCAGUAUCGCAACUACCAAACAUUGGACUUAAACCUCUUUAGAAUAUUCAGAACGAGAGUACAGUAGCUUUUGCCACGACUUGCUCUGCCGCAACUCGCUAGCAAGGAACCCUCAUAUCAAGCUUUCGAUAAUCAAUGGCGCGAAACUUUAGGGCGAGUGGAUUACUUGCUCUCUUUCCCUGCAUCAAAGAACAGAACGAACAGUAUCAGCAAACCUUAAUUGAAUAAUUUGCAUAGUCAAAAGAUAUUACUAAACAUAGUGAACUCACAUUCAAGUUGUAAUAAACAAAAACUCGGGUCUCUUCAUGCAGGAUUGUUGUUCAUGAUUGUUUGCUGGUAGAGAAUUGCAUGGGCAUUCACAGGUAAGGGGCAAAAAUUAAUAUAAAAAGGGCGCACACAUUUAUCAUUGGAUGUUUUAGAUCAUGCCACUCAAGAGGCAGGACGGAAGAGAGAGCUAUUAAGAGCAGUUGGCCAUACAAUUGCUGUUUCAGAGAGGGCGCCAUUUAGAGCAGUUGGUUAUAUAAUUGCUGUCGCUGAAACACGCACAAGCGCAUGAUAUUAAGAUACAAAUGCAAGCCCAAAAUGCUGCGAAAGACCUUAAAAAUCUAUACAAACUUCACUAUGACAUCAGAAAAUUCUAAUGCAAAGUACUUAUACGGAGGUAUUUCCCCCAUAACCCUGACAAAGAAAAGAAAAAAGAAAAAAAGUAAAACUCACUUUUGAUAUUUCUGAUUUACUGUACUAAUUUUAACAGAGACUGAAGAUGAGAGUUGAUAAGAUAAAGAACACUACAUUUGGAAAAAAACUAUCCUCUGAGAACCACUGUAACUUAGAUUAAUAACUAGAUGUUCUUAACAAAGAGUGUACAAUAGAUGAGUUGGACCACUAAUACUCCAUCAUACUUUAGUAAAAGAAAAAAAAAAAGGAAAUUAAGGGUCUAGAAUAAUCAGCUAGAUGAUGUAGAAGACAGUUUUUGUGGCUAAAAAAGCAUCUCUAGGAGCCUGUGGACAAGCAGCUUUUAGGGGAAAGGAAUGGUCCCCUAAAUCAGUAGAAAACAAAGGGACAAUCGAGUAUGCACAUAGCUGGAUCCAUCCCCCUUCUUAAUUAAAACAAUACCUGCAUCAAAAAGGAAGCAUCAUUGCAGGAAACAAACAAGUCUAUAUGGAUCAGAAAGUCAAGCUUAAUUGGAGAUCUCAGCUGUUAUCGAACGUGCGAAAGUACGUACCAACAAUUUAAAAGAGUAUUACAAUCCAUUAUCUGUCGGUGUAAUACUAAACGUGAUACGUAUAUUGUUCCUAGACUUCAGCUCCAAUAUAAAUGAUUAAUACCAUCAUUUUCUGCUGCACCAAAGAGAUUUACUGCUAUAAAUAUAUCAUUGGCUUUACUGAAUUUGCAUAUGAAGUUACUCCAGUGAUGAUCAGAAUUGCCUUGCAAGGCAUCUACUUGUGAUCAAAUUAUAGAAGUAACAAGGUUAAGAAAUCACAUAUGGCCUAGAGCUCAAAUGUUUUUUUUUUGAGGGAAAGGUAGCAUGCUACCCGCUUCAUUCAAUGGAGAAGUAAACUUAGCUACAUGUGUGAGGCAACUUAGGCCUCGAAAGGGGCGGAAAAAAAAAAAUCGUCAGCUGAUUUAUCGUGCUAGUGACCAGAAAGAAAUUCCACCCAUUGAUGCGUUAGCUGCUUAAUCUUACGGAUUCCAAGGAAAGGGUUAGGUUUGAUCAUUCUGAAAAUCACAUUAUUUCUAAUCUCCCAAGUGACCCACCGGCAUGCAAUUAAGCCUAAUGGCCCGGGGUUUAAAGGGAGCGAGCUUUUUCUGCACAUCCAUAUGUCCCAGACCGAAGUCACGUUAUGACCUAAAUCCCUUGGCUGAAUAUUCUCCAAAGCCAAAGCCAUAAGGAAUCUGGAAAACACACACCGGGUAAAUAGAUGAUCCACAGUUUCUUCUGCCGUCCCGCAUAGUACACAGUCCGUGUUACCAGUCCAUCCUCUCUUAAGGAGAUUAUCUGCAGUCAGGGGCCUUUUUUUGAGGACGAGCUAGCAAAAAACUUUCACUUUUAAAGGAAUACAGAGUCGCCACAACUUGCUAGCAUGAGCAUCCCUCGUGCCCCCAUCACAAAGCAUGACGUAGGUUGACUUUACUGAGAAGCGUCCGUCCGGGUUCCAAUGCCAAUGCACACUAUCAGGGCCCUGGUCAACUCGGAUGUUACCGAUCUUUGCUUUAAGUGCUGCAAUACUAGUAGUUAAACCGUGGUCAUUACUAUUGCCACACCCCAAAAUCUUGCGCCAAUUCCAUCCAUUAUUUCCCAGACAAUCACUGUUUUCAAAUUUUUUAGGCUCGAAGACUAAAACACCUCCGGAAAUAGCGAUUGAAAUGUAGUAUCCCCGCACCAGCGAUUUGACCAGAAAUCGAUAAUACGACCAUUUCCUAACUCAAGGUAAGUACCCCAUUUGAAGAUAUCCUUUUGACUUAGAGCUCAAAUGUUAAGUUGGUAUUAUAGUGAAUAUGACUAGAAUACAGUAGAAAAACAAGAGUUAACAAAGGGAAGAGACCUGGAUCUUUCUUCACUAUAAUAUUCCACAGCAGGCUUAGGAAAUGAAGAGAGAGAGAACAAGAAACCACCUAAUCCAAUAGCUUCAUACACCACAUUGUUGGCAUAUUCAAACCACCUAAGAAGAAAAAACAAAAAUUAAGGACAAAACUUUUUGAUUACGAAGUUAGACAGAUCAAAUAAAUCAAAUAUCAACUUACAAGUAGUAAUCUUGUUUAGAUGCAACACACCAUGGAAAGACCCAAACAGGUUGUAUUCCAUAUAGCAAAAGAUUUAGUUGUAGUUACAAACAGCUUUCGUGAACCAUCAACACACUCUGCAGGUGUUGAAGCAACAGGUUCCCUGAACUCCAUGUAAAAUCAAGAUACUCCAAUAGACAAUCAAAUGCCAUCCACCGUGCAGGUGCUGAAGCUGCCACUUUAUGACCAAUAACAUUGGGCCACUGCAAAAAACUGAUCUUCAAACAAUCACAGCCACGAUAUAAAGGGCUCCUUUUUCUUGGUUGGGCUUUCUGUCUCUAUUCUUAUGCUUCCGUAGCUGGAUUAACUGCUAGAUCAAAGAGGCCACCUUAAGAGACGUUCCAGGUUGCAAUAUGCUAAAUAUCAAUAGAAGUUGUAGAAAACCUUUGAGAGAGAAUUUAUAUACAAUAUAUAAGAUAUGUUUUCUUUCCCGUAACAUAACAAUUGCCUGGUACUGUCAUGGGCAUAUUACAACAUACGACCAUGGCCAUAACAUAUAAUUGCUGUUACCAUCAUGCACAGAUUACAAUAGAUAACCAUGUUGAGCAAUUUAUAGAACACACCCGUUCAGAGUGUUGUCAAAUGUUUGUUCACUCUUUAGAGACAAUUAUAUACAACAAUCUAGAGUCAUCAAUAGGCACUCUGCUUUUCAUUCAGUCUAAGUUAAUCUGGAGAUUUCCAUGCGUACUAAAUUAUUUAAGAAGUGCUUUAAUGGCCAUUUAGAAAAAUAAAUCAGCAGAUAACAGAAAUAUGAACAAUAACUCCUCUGGAAACAUUGGAACUCCAAACUUCCACGUCUUUUGUAAGGAUGUGCUAAUUCUAGAAUGAUGACAUCAUCCUCCCAUAUAGUCAGAAACUUGGCCGAGAAGAGAAAGACUAACCAAUGAAGAAAGAAAACAAUGAAGGAGAAAAUUACAAUGAUGCAAAUAGCUACUUUCAAUUCCACAGACAUAUUACUUCCACAAAAUAUAAGUAUUUUAGUCAUGCAUACUCUCAUCACAGGCCAAAUUAUUGCAUUGAAGAUUAAACCAUGGGUCAAAGCUGAAUAAUACUGGAAUAUAUCGGGAUCCACGCUUCAAGGCUCUUUAACUUGAGAACCUAAGAAAUUAAAUUUAAGUUUCUAAAGGUCAGACAUUGGCAAAGGUCUGAAGAGGCCAGAUCAGUGACAUGAAAGGAUUGUAACAUCUAAUUUGGUGGUAUGAUCAGAGAUUGUUGAUCAGCAUGAAAAUAUCAUGACUUCAUUGUACAUACAAGCGCAUUAUCGGAGAUGCUAUAAGUUUGUCCACACUGAAAUAACACAUUGCAUCUGGCCUCGAGCUGAUCCUGCUUCAAUUUUGAUUCCAUAAAAGUACAACUGUAAUAAUUUUGAUUCCAUUAGAGUACAUGUAAUGCUGAAUAAGAUACUAUUUUGUUCAUCUUUCGAGCUACCAGUGAUAGCCAAAAUGUGAAAGAUCGCCCUCACCGCAUAAGAAAUUUAAGUCAGUUACUGAAUAAUCACUAAGCAAUCAGUUACUGGAUAACCACUAAGGAAACUAAGUUGGUUUGCAUAGUCCUGGUGUGAACCAACAAAAUAUUUAAAAAACAACUUGGUAAUAAUUUGCAUAGAUGAAUCAAUAAUAGUAAUACUUACAACCAGGAUUCUUCCAUGAACAGAGAUGUGAAGAGCGACCAACAUAGAAUCUAAUAAAUGGGUAUGCAACCAUCACGUGACAAAUGGAACAAAAUCUACAUACAAAGUACAUUUAUAAACUAGGGAAAUUUGGUUCAAAAGAGUUCCAAGAUAUCACUGAGGAGCUGAGAAACUUAACAAGACCUUUUACAGCUCAUGCGGUGAGGCAAAUUCCCCACACUACUAGAGCUUAAGCCAGCGGUUGCACUUCAUUGGUACAUGACGGCUGUGUGAUUUCUCCGAAAGAAAGUCAGCCUGCUAAACAACAUAGACUGAAAGGCUGGAGAUUUUAAAAAGAAGGUUCCAUGGGAAAAUCACACAAAUCAGAAAAGGAAUAACUAAAGUGACAAUCAAAACAGAGGAAAUGUGCUAUAACAUGAAAAUCUUGGGUAUAAGGAGAAACAGAAAGUUCAAAAGCAGAACAAGGCCUCUCACCGAAAUGAGUUGCUUGGAAUAAACUGUAAAAAAAAAGGUCGAAUAUAAUCUCCAAAAGGUACUUCAAGCAAGUAAGAAAAGCAGAUGUCAUUUAUGUUGACUAAAGAUAUAUUAUGCAAAAGAUAGAUCACAAUGAUAAGAUACACACACACAGGCACACAUCAUUAUUAUAUAAAUAUACACACACAUCAUUACAAGCUUCAAAGCUGUUGUUCUUAAAUAUCAAACUAAGGUCAAUUCGAUUUCUUCUCACAGCCUCCAUCCAAUUUAUUUCUAGAUUUCCCCUUAUCCUUCUGAAACCUCUCAAUUGUGUGUGGUACCUUCCACUACGGGGAACUCGCCUAAAGAAAUUCAGUUCAUUGCAUCUAAAUACUAAACCAUCUGAAGGAAAUGAUUAAAAGAGUAUGAAAUCAUACGAAGACAGUAAAUAUCAGGCUGGAAAAUGAAGUACAGAACAUAAAUACCACAUAGUAAGAUCAUUAGAGUUGUUUCUAUUUAUAUCCAUUGUUAACUAUGUACGUUCAUAAGAAAGUAAGUGACCAUGCUGCCAAGACUGGAAAAUUCAAGUAAGUGAUAUCUACAUAAUCAAAACAAAGUAACAGACCAGAGUAAAAGAAGAGCUUGCUAAAGCUCAUGCUAAUACACAUCUUCAGCAAAUAAUAUUGAACACCUACACAAGACAACCACACGUGACGUAAAGAUUUGGCAACGCAUUAGCACACGACUAAAGAGAAAAACAUGCACCUAUCUUUCUGUAGAAAUCCAUAUAUUAUAAAAAACAAGCCUGCGAAAUGGAAAUAAGUAAUAGAGUUAUCAGCGUAAAGUAUUCUGGCAAGUAAAACAGGACGGUCAGAGAGGCGAACCCAAGUGUCUUUUGCAACUUAAAUUUCAUUGACCAAAUUGAAGCAUGAUACAGCUAUUUUAGCUGAUCUUUUGGUACAGCACCAAAUUGAUACAUGAAAUCAUUCAGCUUAUUACUAUGAUUAUUGUAACUCUUCUAGCACCAGUAAGUAUGAAGAGAAACUCUUUUAUUGAAAGCCUUCACCUCUUUUUACAUUUGUAUAUACGAGCAGCUCCCGAUUGCUGAGACUGCUCCUCCUAUCAAAAUUCCGUAACUAUAACCUACUCACAAGCAGGAUAAGAGUUCCCCCAUCCAACUUCACAUUGGGAGAAUGGAACUCCUCGCGCGUCCAUGUCUAGAGAAGAAGAACCCCCUGCUGCUGCUCGACGAGGAUCUUCCAAUUUCAGGGUAACUCCUUUGAGUCGACGCUGUUUUCGAAGGAUUCGCCUGCUUCUCCUUAUCUUUAGAGCUCUGCUCUUCUUGAUCAAUGGGUUCCUUCCCACUCUCAUCGGCUCCCUGUUCAUCCACCAUCCCGGCCACAUUCAUGCUUAUGAAGGGCGAGUCCAUGGAAACCGACCGCCGAACCGGCUGCAACCCACUCUCUCCCAAAUCACUAUCAACCGUCGACGAUUCGGAGUCCCCGGCGGGCAAAACCCCCACAGGCAAUUCGUCGAACACAUCGCGGGCGCCGACUCCGAUCUCUAAAACCCCAGCGGGGGCGGGGUCGACGAUGCGGGCCCGGCAGAGGGGGCAGCUGACGUGGGAGCGCAGCCACGUGUCGAUGCACGCCACGUGGAAGGCGUGGGCGCACUUGGGGAGCAGCCGCACGAGCUCGCCGUCGCGGAACUCGCCGAGGCACACGGAGCAGUCGGCGGCGCCGAGGAGCCCCGUCUCGGACUUGUACUCCGCCACCGCGAUCGACGCGAUCGUGGCCUCGUCGAGCCCCACGGUCCUGAUGUACCACACGUGGUGCACCUCCCCGUCCCCGUCCCCAUCCCCGUCCCCAUCCCACUCCCCCUCCGCCGUGGCGGAGGCGGCGCCGCCGCUCGCUGCGGAGGAGGCGCGGCGGCGGCGGCGGCGGAGGAGGAGGAGGAGGAGGACGACGGAGAAGGAGAGGAGGAGGAGGAAGAGGGCGGCGGCGAGGAGGACGGAGGCGGCGAGGUGGAGGUGGCGGUGGUCGAUGUGGAGGGUGGUGGUGUCGGCGGUGGACUGCGAUGGCGGCAGCGGCGGCGGCGGCGGCGGGAGGGGGAACGGGGGGAAGCAGGGGAGGUAGGAGCAGAGGACGUAGCAAUCGGGGCAAUCGGGGGUGGGGAUGAUCCGACGGCUGGGGUCCAUCGGAUGGGAUGGGGUCGGAUCAGGUGGGAUCGGACGGUGGGGAUGGGAAGGUGGAGGCGCUUCGCAUGGUGGGGGGAAACUGAGAGGAAGGAGCCGGAGGAGAUGAUGGCGAAGAGCUUCUUAAUAAGUCUGACGGGUUCGGUAGUUGGUGAAGUCAACGGCAGUGGGCGGGAGGUGAGACUACUGUUGCCGUUACUCUCUGUAGACCUUCCAAAAGCUACCCCAAAAGUUACCCCAAACCAUCUGUGCAAAAAAAAAAAAAAAAAAAAAAAAAAANNNNNNNNNNNNNUAAAACAAAAAAAAAAAAAAAAAAAACACAGAUUUAAAAUUUAAAAUUUAAAAUUUUAAUGCUCAUUCUUUUAUAUCUUCUUUCCUCCGUUUGGUUACAAAAUUAAGGAAGCUUUUGAAAGCCCUGUUAAUAAAGAUAAAUUAUUAUCAUCUUUCAUUAAUUUGUUUUAAGUUAUAUUCUAUAUUUAAGCUAUUAUUUCCGUAUCAAUACUAACGUGCUGGUAACGGCGAUUUCGCUUCGCAUGAAUUAUGUCGCUGUGUGGAAUAAAUAAUUUUAAUUUUUUAAAAAAAUUAGUGUUUACUAUGUCCACAGAUUGUUGAUGAUGAUGGGGAACGAGAGACGUACGUGUUGCAAUGAGUUUCACCCAUUUUGCUAAACUAUUAAAUAACUACAAUUGCUAAGAUGAAUAUAUAUAAAUUAAAAUAAUAUGAUUAAGUAGUAAUGCAGAACUAUUUGAAUCGGCUUAUUAAAAUAUUUCAAUUUCAACAUACUUUGUGAGAAAAAAUUUUCUGAUCUUUUAAUUAUUUAUUUUUAAUAUCUUAUUAUUUGCUGUGACUACUGACUAAACGCUGAAGAAAUCUCAUGUAAAGAUUUAAUUAUAUAUUUGGAAAAUAAAAAAGGAAAAACGUGCUUAGACUAUAUUAAAAAGCGGAUUGGUUCAUCGGUUGACGUGGCCAAAUUAUUAUUCAAGAUUCAUACAGGGAAAUAGAGAAAGUUAGGUACGAGUUUACUCGUUUAGAUCGAAAUGGGAACUAAAGUGGAUAAUCCAUUAGGUUUUUUUUUUAAUAGUUUUUCUAAAUAAUGUUCUAAGAAUUUUUGUUUAGGUUAAUACACAGUUAAUGUAAUUCGCAAGACAAGAGUACGGUUAGGAGUAAAAUGCAUACCAAGUUAGAACGAGGAUGGUAUAAUAAUGGUGGUAGUUGGUGGUUGAUAUUUAGAACCGGCCGUUUGGAUGUUCUACAAAAUGUAGGCAUAACAAUUAAUAUUAUUUUUGUGAGAGAAAUGUGGUAUGUGAUGCAUUUUGUUUAUUUUUAAAAAAUAAAUUUAGAUAAAAAUAUAAAAUAAUUAGGCUUCGAAUUUAAAAUUUUGAAUAUAGAUCGUUAAAUUCUUAAACAACCGCGCUAAAUAUGGUAGAAAAAUAUGACAAUUAAUACUGGUGUCGGCCAACUAAGAAAAAAAGAGUUCAUCUCAAAUAAAGUUUCUAGUAACGAAAAAUGCGGAAAAUUCAUUCUCAAUCAUUCAUGACUUUUUUUUCGUUAAUGUGCUUUGUGAUUUACAAUCUAUUUUACUAUUCAUUUUAAUCGUUUAUUACAAUUAAAAUUAAGCAUUUGAUCCCAUUUUAUUAGUACAUUCUUCACCUAGUAAGCUAAUUGUUGAAUAUAAAUAUUAAAAAAUUAUUCUAUGCAGGUUAAAUUUUUUAAGAUAAGUGAUUGUUGAAACAAAAGAUUCUGAAUUCUAAUAUAAAAGCAUCAUUAUCAUCCCGAGUUCAAGUGCAUGCCCACAUGCAAAAGAGUGUUAUAUAUAUAUAUAUAUAUAUAUAUAUAAUAUAAAAUUAUCCUCAUCUAAUAACUUAAACUUUUGAAAAGAGUGGGCACAUAAAAUCGUAUAGCAUACGAUAGAUUUGGUGGUAGCUUUUGUCAACAACUCCAAUCCUUUCAACAAAGAGCAAGAGCAGUUUCCUACGAAAACUAUCUUUGAUUGGUCAAAAUGUGCAAGGAAUCCCCAAUGAAAAUGAAAUGAGACAAAAAGAAAAGAAGAGAAAAGAAAAGCACCAAUAAAUAAAUCCACAACCCAAAAAGACCAAUAGCAUAUGCACCUUGUCCCAAGUUAUCACCUUCCUUAUACUAAUUUUUCAUCAAUUUAAGUUGAUUCACAUACCAAGUCCAUGGCGCUGUCGAGUUCUCUCAUGCGCUCCGUCUCCUCCUCGCAUCGCUCCGUUCGCAGUAGCUCCCUCCGUCAACCCCCUCUCGUCGAUCAAACCGUAUCAUCGAUCUCUUUACCAGUUCGCGGGCAUCGAGCUGUUGUCGCUCUUGCGAUGGACUCGUCCCGCAUCGACACCGCAGUUCCGACUACAGAAGACUCAAAGUAUGCAUGUUAUCCUUGCUCAAAACAUUAGAAGCAAUAUAUACAUGCAAUAUAAGAAUAUUGUUUUUUCGUUAAAUUUCCUUGUGGUGCUACUUUGAUGUAGAGCGACAAAUACAACCGUUGGAUCGGCAGAGACCGCAGAGGCGAGUAAAGGAGAUCCAGAGUAUGUGAUCUUCAUCAAAGAUUAUGCUUUUUUGGUUUUCCUUUUUGUUAAACUCCUUUUAGAACUUUAUCUAAUAGUGUUUUUCGUGAACGUGAUUAUUACAAGGUGGAUAGUACUGCAUACGAACGGCGAGAUCGGUUCGGGUAAUUCCGGUGGUCGUGGCGGCUUUUCUCUACCCAACAUUCCAGUACCUCACAUUCCCCCGUGGUAAUUAAUUAAGAGCUAAUUAAUUUAAGGUGUUCAAAUCAUUUCCUCUUCUUAAUUUCGAUUCAAUAUGAUCAUUACAUGAAGAGUUUUGUGGUUGGAUUAUUCUGUUCCUUUCUUAGGGCAAGAUGGGUGCUUGGUACCAUAUUUUGCGUCGCAAUUCCGCUUUACAAGCGAAUGAGAAGAAUCGAAGGUACGGAUAUAUUGAGAUUUUUUUUGCUUUUCGUACACAAGAAGUUCAUCUUUCGUUUUAGAUAAAAGCUCCGAAAUUUCGGACUUCGGUUUCCUUAAUAGCGAAUUAAGUUUCUUAAAAGCGGAGCGAAAUAAAUUCUAAAUUGUUGCUACUAAAUAUGAACACUUUAGUUUGUGAUGGUGCAAUUCUAAUCUUAAUACCAUCAUGUUACAUUUGUUAGAUAAGGUGGAAAAGACCGCGGAAACUGCGAUCGAAGUCAUAGAGAAGGUGUCUGAGGUGACAGAAAAGGUAGCUUCCGACGUGGCCAACGCUCUUCCCGGCGACGGAAAUAUAAAGGAAGCAGCUUUGAAGAUUGAGAAAAUAGCUGAAGAAGUAGACAAAGAUGCGGGAAAAGCCGAAGCCAUCCUCCACAAGGUCCUCUCUAAUUAAUGCUAAAAUAUUAUUGUCUUUUUCAAUCAAGCAUCAUUAAUUGCUCAAGAGUUUCUAAUCUUGAUUAGCACAUUAUAAACGGUUAAAAUGGCAAGUUGUAUAUUAGUUUGUACUUUAAUACUCAAGUAUAUACUGCACACGCAUACAAGGUACACAUAGAAUUUUUGUGCGCACGAAGUUUCUUUGAGUUGGACUAUUUCAAUUUUUGACCAUCAAUUACUUUAGGACAAUGUUUUUGCUUAUAAGGAACUAACUCAUCUAAACAUGUUCUCCUAAUUAAGUAGACACUGACCAAACAAGUUAGCAUUUAAAGAUUGACAAGUAUUAUUAGACUAAAAAUGUUGAAAAAAAUGAUGCAAUGGAUAUUCCAAACUUGGAAAAAAAUCUAUGUAGCCUUUUUGUUUUCUUUUAAAUUCGAGAUAGCCAAUGAAACAAGCAAUUGUUGGUUUAGUUCACCGUGUAUUUUAUUUUAUUUCAUUUAUUAAUUUAUUUAUAUUGCUAGAGCAGGUUGAUGAGAUAAGAGAAGAGGUGGAUGCAAUAGUGAACCCUAUCAUCAAGGAAGGGGAGUCCAUAAAGAAAGAAAAGCAAGAAGAGGACAAGUCAAAACAUAUCACAGAGAAAGAAAACCAAGAAAAGGAGGAAGCAAAACCUAGCACAGAUCAAUCACAAACCAAUGGAGAAUCAAAUGAUCAGAAAUAAUUCAGAUUUUUUAAAAAUUAUUUUUUUUAUCAGAAACGAUUCGUAGAUACAUGAAUUAUGAAAUAAAAGCUCUCUUAAUUUGUUGUUGUGUUCAUUGAAUUUUUCUUCCUCUGAAUCUUUGUAAAUAUAUAUGUCUCGGCCUUUGUAUUAGGCAAUGCUUGAAACACAAUAGUAUAUGCAUGCAAAUUGGGCUCCACAUAUGAUUCUAUGUAAUAUUGGUUGCUAAGUGGUGUUCUAGGAGGCUCCCAUAUUUUAUAGUCAACUCCAGAAAGGAUAUAUGAGAAUAGUUGAUUAUGUCUAUUUUACUGGUCGUCCCUAAAGCAAGUGGCAAAGGAUUUGAUGGUUGGUACCUGAGACCUAAAAUUUGAAUCCUAGUUGAUUCACAUUUUAAACUUCAUUUAUAAAUGAAGUGGGUAGCGUGCUACCUAUCUCUCAAAGAAAAAAAAAAAGUUGAUUAUGCCUUUUACGUGUCCAUCAUUUUGUUCUUGUUUAACCUCAAGAAUGAGAAAAUAAAAACAGGGAAAACAGGGCUAAUUCAAAAAAUAAGAUAGGAUUUAAAACAAUCAAUUGUUGGACCAAGAAGUUUUCAAACAUAAAUGAAUUUAGGGAAGGGAAAAGGUCAUUUUGGCGCAGGAGAUAUUCCAGGUAGAAAUGUAUAAUAAUACAUGGUUUUGAAAGAUCACAUUCCUGUCAUUGUGCGGAUGAUCCUUGAUUUUUUUCAGAAAAAUUCAAAUUUCCCAAAUUAAUAUCCAAAUAUUCCAACAUGCUUAACUUUAUUCUAAAUAAUGGUUUUUAAUAAUUGUAUAUGUUUAUGUGAGAUAUGAAAGUUUUGAAUAUAAUAAUAAGCUUAAUAAAUGAGAUAGCCUCGACUUUUCAAGAAAACAGGAAAAUAGAAGUGUGAAACAACCGUUGUACUCUAAAAGCUUAAGAUGUUGAAAAACGGUCACGUCUGGGCUCGAGACUUUUUAGUCGGCCCAUGACGUAGGCUUGAAUUAAAUGGGAGGAAAUUAAUAUGCUAGGAGGCUGGUGUGACUCGAACUCAUGACCUCCUGCUCUGGUAUCAUGUGAAACAACUGUUGUACUAUAAAAGCUUAAGCUGUUAAAGAAUAGUGUUUAUAUAAUUUUAUAUUUAACAAGAAGAAUACAAUCCGUACACCCUAUUUUAGUGUGUACAUCGUGCUCUCCAUGAUCCAAGAGUUUUAAGGUAUACAAAUAGUAUUGCUAAGAAAUUUAAAAACAUUAAAGAUAUAAGCUCUUAAAAUUAAAAAAAAAUUAUUUUUUCUUUUGACAAAAAGAUAGCGAGCUAUAUUUUUUAUUUAUUAAGAGGAAUAAACUUGCUACAGGAGUGACCGGUGAGGCAACUAGGGCCUCCAGCAAAAAGACGGUGCUGGAUAUAAUGACGAAAAAGGUAGGAAAAAAAGACAGAAAGGGGGGAGCGGGCAGCAAAAAUAAGAAAUAUAGUGAUCAGCAAUGCUAAGUCCUCGCGCCCACGAGAGAUUUUAUGCCCCACAGAGCCUAGAUUAGAUUAGAGCUUUAUCUCUUAAAGAUGACACAAUUCUGCUCCAGUCAAAUUGUCCACUAGAUAGCCGAAAGCUUCUUAGUGAGCUUCUUUUUCUUUUUUUCUUUUUUUUCUUUUUUUUUUUUUUUUUUUAUUUCAGACUACUUCCAAUGCCCUUCUGGAUCAGUUCCGCCCGGAGCUCCCUUACACGAUCAACAUGCAGCGCUCUGAGCAAAAGUGCAAAUAAUGAACUUGCGACAAUAAAAUAUUGUUCCUUUUUCUUCCUGCAGUGCUCUUUUUUUUCGUUUUUUCUUUUUUUUUAAUGGGAGUCUGGCUUUUGGUACAAACAUUAUAUAUUAUUCUUUUUGCCCCUUUUUUCCUUUCUGACUCCGUCUCUCGUAAGGUUGAGGCUUGAGCUAUAUAUUUUGAUGGAUCGAAACCUUUUUAAAUUGGAUUUAGAUUUAAGGAGUGCAUUAGAAUGACACGCAUAUGUAGCAAUGUACGUUGGCAAUUCACCGUUCAGCAUUACUUUGAGAUUUGUUAAAAAAAAAGAUAGCGCACUAACACUUUAUUUAUUUUUUAAAGAAUAAAAUUUAACUAAAAAUAUAAAAUAAUUAAAAUUUAAAUUUAAAAAAUUUAGAAACCAACCGUCUGAGUCCUGUCCUCCCGGUCACGGUAACGAUGGCCGGGUAGUUAGGCGUAUAUUCCAAUCCUGGGAGAGUGCGUACGCACGCCAACUGGAAAAGAUUCUUCUGGGACACAAAACGAAACGAAACGAAACGAAACGGAGGAGCCCCUCGGAAGAAAGUAAACUCCUCUCCCUUUCUUGCGCUGCGCUUCUCCCUACCAUCUCAUCACCAACCCCCACCACCUACUCCCUCCUCUCUCUAUCUCUCUAUCUCUCUGAAGGAAAUUAGAGAGAGAAAAGGAGAGAGUGAUGGAGGAGGAGGAGGAGAAGAAGCAAGCGUCUCGUGCGCAGAGCAAGAGAGGCUGCUUGGAUUGGCAAUUGUCGGAGCAGUACGAGAGGGACAUGCUCAUGAGCGGCAACGUCCUCUCCGCCCGCGCCGUCCCCGACCUCCUCCAGAACUGCGACCUCCCCCCUCCCCUCAAGCUCUUUUCGCCCGUCGCCGACGACGAGGAGAAGAAGAGAAAGCCCGAGCCCGGUUAUCGCGUCCCUCUCGGGCAGCAGAGAUGGGGAGAUUACGGUGAAUUGGGGCCGGAUCGCGGCGGCGGGGACAACCCCAGCCUGCUGAGGGCUCUGCAGCUGUCGCAGACGCGGGCGAGGGAGGCCGAGAAGCAGGCCCUGCUUGCGAGGACGACGAAUCGGCGGAUGGCCGCACUGCUCCUCGAGGAGUCGUUGCGGCUCUCGGCUCAUCAGCGGUGGAUAGCGAUGCUCGAGAUCGAGAUCUCUAUGCUGCAGAGAAAGGGAUUGUGGCAAAAGGAAGAAGACGGAAGGGAUGAAGAUGCGGCUGUGGCUGCAGGGGCGGCGGCAGCGGCAACGUGGUGCUUCGCACUGGCCCUCUGCCUCGGCAUCGCCGGAGUGGGUUUCGCAUUGGGCAGAUGUUUAUGUUGAUUAGGGGUCGUAAGCUUAUGAGAGGAUAUAGAGCAUCAUCAUCACAAAUUUGUUUACAGGAUGAGGAUAGGUAGAGAUCAAAAGACGAAAGCAAAACUUCUGUAAAUGAAAUAUGUGGGAAGCAUUUGUUGAUCAUAUGUAUUUACCAACGAGAAAAGACAAAAAAAAAAAAGGCAAAAAAAGAAAAUCUCUUCAUAUCGUGAGAAGUAAAUACAUAUUUUGCAUCUUGUUUGUAUGUACAGAAGGGAAAUACAUGUAAGCAUAAAGAUAGUACUAAAAAGACAUUACUCCUAUUAUUAUUAUAUUAUAAUGAUAUAUAGUCCUACAUCCGGAUGUCUAAUAACAUAGUGUAAAUAUUAUUUCUAGUGUUAUUUCACUAAGAAUUGUACACAAGAUCAAUAAAAUGAGAGAUUUUACAAGAGGAGGAAAAGGAUGCUACAAUAACUUCGAGAAGAACCCUAUUAUAUACAAGGAUAGUCUACAAAAUAUGAGCACGUUAGGUUUCACAUAAUUGCAUGGUGUACCGACCUGAGAUGAUCGUAACAGCUGUCGCUGCAAUCGAAGGACUCCAAGCACACCCAGCACAAGUGCUUACCACACAAGCAUUCUACGUGGUUGCACCCUUCUGCCUUCUCAAUCGUGUGCCCGCACGAGGGGCAGUCCUUCACGAAAUCCUUUCCCUCGCGCCACUCCUCGAGCGACAGAUCGGGAUCGACCUUGAACUCCCUGUAGCGCUCGCACGACACAGAAGGGUGGAACUCCAUGUGGCACUUGGUGCACGUCUCGACCCCGCAAGCCCCACACACGAAGGGCCUGCCUGGUUCGCCAUCUCGUGGGCAGACCUUGUAGACCGAUGGGCAGUCGGGGGUCGGGCAGAACCUGUAGGCCCCGCCACUGGACCCCACGAAUGCGCCUAAAGAGGCUCUGAACAGCUCCUCCAACUUGUCGCAGGAUAAUAGAGACCUCAAGUCAACAAGCAAUAGAGGCUCGCCGCAACUCUCCUUGGUACAGCAUAGGGGGAACCUGUCAUGGGAUCUUAUGGCAGACUCACACUGCUCAAUUAAACAGUUCCGACAAAAGCUGUGGCCGCAUUCUUCGAGCCUGUACGGAUCUUCAAGCUCGCAUAAGCAAAUAGGGCAUGUGGCCUCUGAUGGUUGGAUGGCUAAACUUGUGCUGCCAAGAGAGAGCACCAAUUCGUUUACAAUCUCUUGUACUCUCUGUUUCAGCUCCUUGCUUCCUCGGACUGAGAGGAUAUGGAAGCGGGUGUUGAGAAGUACUUCGACCCCUGGUGCCUUUUCCUUCAGCCCAUGAAGGUCCGGGCCGAACCUUUGAACCACCUCUUUCAUUAGAUCUGGUGGGAGGCUGCGGUCCCGGAGCCGGAUAUCGAGUGGCCGAUUUUCAUGAAAUGAUAGAAGUGACUGGACCAAUUUCUCCUCCGCAUCAGCCACACCAUUGUGAGGUCCAAAUACUUUAACAUUUAGAUUGUACCGGUCGUAGAAAAUGUAUGUUUUAGUGGACCGCUCCACGUCCUUCAUAAGCGUGGCACCAUCACGGGACAGCAGUAACUGUAGAAUAGUAGGAGUCAGGCUUUGAUGGCUUAUAGUCUUCCCUUUCAUCAACUGCUCCAGAGGUUUCCUCAAGUCGGCUAUAAUCUUCGGACUGUUGGCAGAUAUCGUUAUUCUAAUGGAACCAUUUACGUUCUUAUCUUGCUUAUAGUAUGCACCUGCAGAAAUGAAAGAGCCAGGAUUUCAAUUACUCAUGGUCGCAAAGAUAGCAAUGAAGUCCAUAAAUGUAAGUAAAUCUCAAAUUCUGGGCCACGGCAAUAAGCAAUGGAAACAUUUAACACAGUAAAACAAGAAAAGAAACACAGAUAACCUACAGGAAUCCUGUUAAAACUAAGCUUGCAAAAUAUCUACGUUUGACAGAUGCAGCCAAUGAAUGGGGAAAAAAAAAAACGUUUGUCUCUUCAUUAGACCUCCAUUCAGCAUGUCAUCAGAAUAGGGUAUGCUCAAAUACAUUUCAAAGUGAAAGCAACAAAAUAGGACAAGUGAAAAUGCAUUCCGAAGAAACUUAAUCUAUAGACUGCAAAAUAUGCACCCUGAAUUGUUUCCAUACAUCUUGAAGUUUAGCCCAUUGUCAAGCUAGUGACAUUUGUGUUUCCUUGUACAGAAAGACAUUAGAAAACAGGAAAGGUGAAAAUGUAUAUACCUUACCUGAACUAUACCUGAACUAUAGAGCAUUUUGAAAUGGUUACCUAAACUUCCAAACUUUGAUUCUACUUCCUAAUCUCUUGCUCCUGAUUGCAGUAAAUUGUUUGAUAAUUUCUGUCAAGCUUUGUUGGAAUUAAUAGUUUCAGAAUAUUUCAUCAAACAACAUAAUACUCUGUUAGCUUACAUGAUAUCUCUCAGAAAGUUUAAAACUAAAAUUUCUGAUAGGUCAGACAUUGUAUAAGGUUAGGUAGUGAUAUCAACAUUUCUGAAGUUCAGGUUCCAUUUCAAAAUUCAGUGCAGUUCAGGUGAGUCCAUUCUAAUUUACCAGCAAGGUAUGCUCAUAUUCCAUCAGUCAUAAACUCAAACCAAUGAUAUGCGUAAACGAUGAGCCAGGAAAGCACAUAAAUAAUAACCAACAACAAGAAAAAGGCAAUGCAACUAGGAAGAGACUCAGCUGUCACUAAUCAACAAAAAUUUACCAGAACAAACACCAUAUGCAGUUAAUUUAAUCAUUAUGCAUGGCUCUAAAGAAGAUAGAAUCAUUAACUUAUUGAUGGAUCAAAAAAGUAAUCCUUGCUAUAGGUAACUAAAGGCAAUAAGCAUAGAAACAAAUACAAAAGAAUGUUAGACCCACAUACCAUCCUGAUGCUUAAAACCUUCAAGUAGGUGAUCCAAUUGCCCCUUAAUUACAAAGUAAAUACGAGACGGACAAGAUAAACAGCUGGAAAAAAUAUGCUGGCACUGUAUCUUUUGCCAUGGAAAACAGCCAGAAAGUACUUUGCCUUGGAUGUGAUCCAAGGCAUUUGCUGCCUCUGCAUGUAGGCUUCCAUCAAAAGUGAUCAUAGCUUUCACCAUGUAAUCCUUCGGUUCAUAGUUAUACACUUCAACCUGAAAAUUGCAGUUUGGGAGAUUCUUAUUAGGCAUGAAAGGCGCAAUUUCUUUGACCAGAGCUUCUGCAUAAGUAGAAACCGGAAGGUUAUUGAUGGCAUCUCCUCUUAACAAACGAACACUAAGAAUUCUCCUCUUUGUUGCAUUCUUAAAUGCAUCAUAUACUUCUUGUUCUCCAAUAUCUUUUGGAAUUCCUGUCACAAAUAGACAAUUUGGGUACUUAACACUGACAUUACAAUUAACAUACCUGUCUCCAAUAAUUAAUGCAAAGCAGUCUUUAGCAAUAAAAUCAACAUCCUCCUUUGCGCAUGAAACAAGUGCAACUCCCUUGCUGGGCCUAUGUAACCAAUAAACUUUUGCUCUGACUGUAGGAAAUGGUAAUGCUUUAUGAUUGAAUGCAGAAACAGGAAGCACCUUUAAAAAAGAGCCAUUCAGUUCCACUUUAUUCAGGUUGGCUACAGCAUUUUCUGCACCUUCAGGAUUAAGAAAAGUUACUUUACCCCACUUAUUUGAUUCUAGGCCCCCUUGUGCAUUUGCUGGAUGCUUGUGAUAAUUAGCUAUUCCAUUGCCACAUCUAUCCACAAUUUUAAGAAGCUCCCUGUCAUUUAGUUCAUUUGCCUUUAGAUGGAAAAUUUCUACUGUAAGGUAUCUCUUCUCAAGCUCUAGAUGUUUAAUUUCAGCACCUGAACCAAACAGUGCAAUAGAAGGAGAACUACCAAGCCCUCCAUGGUACAAGCAUUUUUCAGUGCAUUCAUGCCUCAUCCAUUGUCUUUCACGCUCCAAGGCAUUAUUAAAAAGGCAGCAAACCUUUUCCAUAUCUUUUGCUAAAGCCAGUAACUGAAUCUCUCUUUUAUCAAAGUCAACGUCAAUAGUGAUAUGAUUAUCCAUGCAUUCUUCCUGAAUAUUAGAAACAAGGCAGCGUAGGUUAUGAUUUGAUUUGCCACAUAACCUUCUAAUAAGAUUAUAACCAACUCCAGUAGUUACAUUCAUCACCAUCUUCUGGCUCUCCAGCUGAAAAAUGUCAAACAGAGGAGGCUGAAUCUUAUGCAAGCAUUCAGAAUCAACAGCAGUCACACAGACCAAAUAACGACUCGAUAUACAAAAAAUCUCACCAAAAACCACCCAGCUUGGCCUCUCGCCAAAUAUUAGCAAUGAACAAGAAGGAUGAAGUGGAAUAUAUUGCCCUGUUAAUGCCACUUUGUAGCCAAGAACGUCAGAUCCAGAAUACAUUGCUGUAUUAUCAGCAAGAGACAGGAGUAGAACCUUCUUUAGUGACUUGUCAUGUUCGGUAGGUUCAUGCCGGUCCCAUAACCAGUAACUCGGAACGAUAACGUUCAGUUCAUUCUGAAGACAAUUUUCUAGCUCCAGAAUAGUAUCCCGGCAUCUUCUCAUUGAUUUCGCAUUGAUGCUAUUCCCCCAACACCAUUUGUUCCUAUUCUCAUGUUCGCUCUCCCAUUCCUUGUAAACUGAGAGCAAUGUAAAAAGGUCUCCACCACGAUGACAGAAUGGCACUUUAAGGCGAUCUGCUUUAAAUUUCUCCUCGUCAGUACCAACCCUACAAAAUAUGCUGCUAGAAUUUGCCAUUACAGCAGCAAGAACUACACCCUCUUUUCUCAGCCCGCAGCUAAAGCAAUCAAGAAUGAUCUUCCCAAGCCGUGGCUCGACACCUAAUUUAACCAAGCAACGGCCAGUUCCAGUUAACUCAAACAAGCCAUUUUUACGAAUGACAGCGCCUAUUCGGAUUAAAUUCUGCAUCGCUGUGUCAACGGCACAUGGGCUUGGGGCAUCUAUAAACUCAAAUUCUCGUAUGUCCUUUAUACCUAAAGCAAGAAUUCUUAAGCAGGCAAUCCCCAGGUGUACUUUACGGAUUUCAGGCUCUUGAUGCGGUUGCAUUAAUUGAUAAUCAUGCUGCGAAUAAAGCCUGUAGCAUUUGCCUGGCCCCGUCCGACCUGCUCGACCAGCACGUUGGUUAGCGGAACUUUGGCUAGUGCGGCACACUUUAAGCACAUUCAUCCCAUUUUUAGGUUCAAACAUGAUAUCUUUGACCAUUCCGGAGUCAACCACAUAUUUCACACCUUGAAUAGUAAGAGAAGUCUCUGCAACAUUGGUGGAAAAUAUAAUCUUUCUUUUUCCUGGGUAGUUCUGAAAAACACGGCUCUGUUCUUCACUAGAGAGCUUCCCAUGCAUUGGGAGUACAACUGCAGAGGGAUCACUAAACCUCUCACAUGCCCAUUCUACUUCCAUUUGAGAAGUUAAGAAUGCGAGUAUACCGCCAUCUUCCUCAGUUUUGUGGAUUACACUCACCAUUUUAAGCACAUCAGAAACAUAUGAAACCAAAGUAGCGGGAAACUUCAGAUUUGAAAUAUAAGAAAUGUCAGAAGAUAUAUCAGGAACAUAUUUGAUUUCAACUGGGAAGUUUCUCCCCUUCACAUUAAAGGUGCGGCAACUAUCAAAGUAGUCUGAAAGCUUCCUUGCAUCGGCUGUGGCAGACAUUAUUAUAAGUCUCAAGUCAAACCUCUUGAGCAGUUUUUUCUUAAGCAAUGCCAGUAACAUGUCGGUGUUUAAGCUUCUCUCAUGUGCCUCGUCAACAAUAAUAUGUGAAAUACCAGCAAGGCUAUCAUCGUUCAUGUAAUGUUGCAGAAGACAGUGGUCAGUCAUGAAUAUAACCUUGGAAGGGAAGCACUGUAAUGAGGAGAAGGUCGGGUAAGAAGUCACAGAGUAGUCUUCGUAGCAUCCAUUAGUUUCCUCUGCAACCCUUUGUGCUAAAGAUGUGGAAGCGAUUUUUCUUGGCUGAGUACACACUAUUGAUCCUUCGUCAGCUAGUCCAGAAUCAGCAAGAAAUUGGACCAACUGUGUACUCUUACCCGAGCCAGUCUCCCCAAUUAGGACGCUAACCUAAAAUUAUAGUUUAUAAGAAUCAGAAAUAUUUGCGAAUUAAUCUACAACACAGACACGUUUUACCUAAAAUUACAGGUUAUUCAUAUUGCAAAGGCCACAUUUUUUAGGAAAUUAAAUACCGCAAUAGUAGAACUUUCAGAACAAAUCAAUUAUACCAUCUAUUAUCAAACAUGUACGUGGGCAGAGGUUCUGCAAUUUAGUAAAUUAAAUACUGCAUGAGACAAAAUAAAAGUUAACAAGUGACAAAAAGCGCUUAUUUACGAAAGUAGUUCGACAGGAAAGGUUCGAGCGAUCAUAGUUAUUGCAUUAUACCUGAUUUGAACUAAUAUUUCUCAAAAUACUUCUUCUGCAUGCAUAAAUUGGGAGGCCCUCCUCGAGCCUUCGGCACUCUCGCAACAUCACGGCUUGGAUUCGGCCCCAAUUCCACUUAUCCUCGAACUUGAGCGGCGUAAAAGCGCAUUGCUCGCCUUCUCCAACUUCACUCUGAGGCUCUCCGAGAUGAGCGAGUACACACCCCAUGGCCGCUCUGAACUCCUCGAGGUUACCCUUCAACUGCUCCCUCUCGCUCUCGAGCUGCUUCCGAUUCGAGCGAAGCUCUCCAAAGCUCUUCAGCGGAUUCCGGCGUCGGAGCAUCCCGUCCACUUUCGCGAUCUCGACCGUGAGCUUCUCGAUCUUCUUGCUACACCUCUCCGCCGCCUCGCCCUUGAGGAGCGCGUGCGCGUGGCCGGCGAAGAGCGCGCGGAGCCUCGCCGCCUCCUCGCUGGGAUCGUAGCGCGCUGCGGAUGCGGCGGCGACCCUAGGGCUCAAGUGGUGGGCGCCCUGGAGGCGGCGCCGCCACAGGAAGACGACGGCGUCGAGCGCGUCGACCUCGCGGCGGUAGCAGAGCCUCCCGGCGAGGGGGCCGAAGGGGUAGACGAAGAACUCGGCAGGGGGGAUCGGGAUGGCGGAGACGAGGGUGUCGACGUCCUUGGGGGCGGUGCCCCGCCGCGCGGAGGAGCGGGCGAGGAGCACCUCGAACGGCGGCGCGGGGGGCGGGUAGGGGCGGUGGGGGCGCGAGUAGGUCGUCGCCUUCAUCCUUGCGGCGGCGACGGCGAGGGCGACGGCGGAUGAGGAGGAGGCGAAACCCUAGAAUUUUGACGAGGGGGUCCGGGGACGAAGACGAGGGAGAAGGGGAAGAGGAAGUGGGAAUAGGAACAUGACGGAGAAGCAGAAGGGGGGUUUAUAUAGGGAGGAGGACAUGGAAAGGAGCGGGGGCCGGGUUCGGAUUGCGGUUGGAGAGCAAGGCGCGCGAGAGGGUUUCGGGUGUACUCAUUAUUAUUAUAUACGUGAAGAGGAAAUUUAAUGGAUCGUAAAUACAUCGAGUGCGGAGUGGACCCGGAUCACCCGGUACGAUUCGGACUAGGAGUAUUUACAAGGAAUUAUUUCCUGCACUCGGUGUAUCACGCACCUUAACUCAUUUUUAUAUUUUAUAUAGAGUUAGUUGCAUAUAGCUCUCUCUAAACAAGAUAUGUUCCUACAAAAUUUAAUUUUUUAUUUUUAUUCUUUCAAAAAUUUUAACGCUUUCAAAUAUAUCUUUACUGUUAGGAUCCAUUAGAAAAAUAUAAUAAAUCAUAAGUAAAAUACAUAAUUCUGGUUAGUGAAUAAGUUAAAUUAAUAUUUUUUACCUCUCUUAUAUUAUUAGAUAAAUUAAUUUUCAAAAGAAAAAUUCUGCAAAAUUUUAAUAGUUAGAAAUAUGAAUAUCAUAGGACUAUUCGAUAUGUUUAUAGGUAGCUAUAUACAAUUAAUCCUUUUAUAUAUAUUAAAGUCAUAAUAAUAAUAUAAUUUUGAUUUAUAAUUUACAUUUAUAUUUAGAAAGCUUGUUCAGUAAUCUGAAUAGAAAUAAUUUUUAUUUAAUUUAUGAAAGGUAAUUCUCUCUCGUUACUUUUUUCUCUAUAAAAUUUUUAAACAUCCUAAAAUACAAGUUAGAGACUUUAAAAUUUUGCGAUCUCUGUAAAUAGAUUUUCAGAGUACGGUUUAUACACGGGGUGCACGCAAUAAUGUGGCGUAAAAUCCAAUGGGGGUUGGAGCCACGACGCCUUGGGUACCAAGGAGUCGGAGUAUUCGAGAAGGGGCUGUGUCAGUGCUGAGUCCUUUUUGACGGGGCGGUGAAGGGACACCACGAAGAUCAACUGCUCCUGAUAGAACAAUGAUCGUACGGUCUACAAAAAUCGUAAAGUAUUCCAAUAAUAACAAUUAAUUAAACUAAACAUAUUUUAGGCUUCCACAAAAACUAAAAUUUUUCAGUACACUAUCGUCUUGAAAUUAUUUUAUUAGGUUUUUUUUUUUUAACAUAACUUGGCACACCAAAGUUCAACCUUUGCCUCUCUCAAUAUAAAUUCAAAAAGAACAAAUUUUGCAAAUAAAAAAAUUUGGCACCAAUUAGUAAAAUCAGUAAUCAGAGACAAAAUUAUUAGAAAUCUACAAACUAUAUGUGGUUGGUCCAACUUAGAGAUCUGAUAGUUAAAUAUAAUUAGAAGUAGAAUAUAAUUGAAAUACACACAUCUGAAAGUAGAGUACUUAUAAUUACAUGUGUCUUAUCCAGUUGAUUAUAAUAGAAAUUGCUACAAGCGAAAUAAUUUGUUUAGUUAUAUAUAGUUGAGAAGUGUAUUUUUAAAUUUUUAUUAUUUUGUAUAUGAGAUAAAAUUACCUUUCAUAUAAAAUAAAAGGCAAUUUUUAUUAAAAAAGUAAUUAGAAAAAUAAGCUUAUGUUUUGUUUAUAAUUACUCUCCUAAGUUGGAACUGCUGCCAAUUUAGGCAUAGUUUUAACUGUUGUAGUUGAGUUUCGUACAAUUUCAACUACAAAAGUUAAAUUCACAUUCGUCAAUUAAAGCACUGAAUUUAAAUAUGUAUGUAAUUAUAGCUGCAAUACAGUUAUAUUUUUAUACAACCAAAUAAUAAUCUUUUACCAGUACAAAGUUAGAUUAGUUAUACAAUUAAAGCUCGAGACCAUUUCGCUUUCACAAUUCCGACCAAACAAACAAACUCUAAACUCGUCCAAUAUUCUCUUAUUCUUAGCCUUUUGUCAAUUAGAAGUAAAUAUCGAAGAUUAAAAUAUUAUUCUCUAUCUACAUGCUUUAAAUCUUUGAAGAAUUUUUUUUCGGACAAUGUAUCUUCAGAGAGUGGUCCUACGGGCCAAUGGACCUACAGGUCAACAUGCAGGAAAGAAAAAUAACAUAAUAAAAGGUCUUAUAUUAAAUAAUAAAUAGUACACAAACUAAUGAGAUUGUCAUACACUAGUAUAGUAGUACUGUGAAUCCACAUGAAUCCCUUUAUUUCAACUAGUUUUUUUGAGCUUCACUUUCGAAGCAAUGCUUUAUUCCAUUAUUCUUAUCUUCAAAACUAGCUCUCUCUCCGACAGAAGAAAAGGAAAAAGCAGUGAAAAAAAUUCAUUCCAAGAUUUGCCUUCUUUUAUUUAAGCUUUUUGUAGGGAAAAUGCUAAGAUUUAUUUAUCAUGUUUCCAAAGAAUAAUGAUUAAUUAACUUAGGAGGUAAGCUCACCGAUUGGCCACUUGUAUGAAUAUAUGAAGAGUUUUUUUUCUUCUCAAAGGAAAAAAAAAAAAAUUCUAAAGAACUUUAUUUUCAGAAAAAAAUAUUACAUGCUGUCUAUUUUAUUCAUUUUUUAGAAAUAAACUUAAUUAAAAAUAUGAAGCAAUUAAAAUUCGAACUAAAAGACAUUCUAUGCGACAACGACACUGAGGUAGUCAAUCAUUUAUUUGUGGGUUUUGUCUACAGUAGAUUUUUGCCAUUUUGCAUCUUGAAGAAGUUCAUAUAUAGGGAUCUAUGGCGGAGGUUCGAGGUGUUUGGGAACACCUGAUGGAGAGUUGAAACCAAGGGACAAUAUUAAAAAAUCUAGCUAAAGACGCAGUUUGUUGGUAGAUGAUUUGGUGGGAAAGAAAUAAUGCGAUUUUUAAGAGCCAAUCUUCCAAUCCCUUAAUGGUUGCUAGACUUAUUCAGAACGUGCAUGGGAUAGGGAAUGAAGCAAGUUUUGUAGCAGUAGAUGACGUGUUCUGGUUAGCAGAGUUAACUCCAUUAUUUUGUUUAUUCUUCUUCCUUUAUUUUUCUUUUUUCACCUACAGUCUAGGUGCCUUAUUUUUUUUAACUAAAUUUAUUUGCCUAAUCAAUGGAACAAGUAAUGUGCUAUCUUUCUCUCUCUCAAAAAAAAAAAAAAAGACUUCAAACUUUGGAUACAAACUAUCAAGUUAUUUGCCACAUAUGCUAGAACAAUCGGCAUAUAAAGAGUUAUUGUAAUGUUUGGAAGGAAAGAGUGUUUACAAAUGUAACCUGCAAAGAGUCAGAAGUUUGGAAAUCCCCAUUGAGGAAUAAUACAUUAAAAAGCAUACUAAAUUAGAGCACCCAUACAUGUUCCAAAUAUUGUGCUGGUUUUAUUUUAUAUACAGGACACACAGUUUAGAAAUAUUGGUGUAAUAUUUAAAUGGUCUCACUUAAAGAUCAGAGAUUCGAUUAUCUGAAUAUAUAUAUGUAUUUGAAAUUUUGAAAAAAUAAAAUAAAAUGGAGCUUCUUGAGCUUUAAAUUAGUGUUAGGCAUUUGAAAGGUUUUACAAGGUAUAGCUCUACAGGUAAAAUUGAAACAAGAAUACAUAUUUAUUAAUACAUUAAUAACAUAAGAAAAACUUUAUGAGACUUUGAACAUUUCUAAUUAAAUUACCUUAAAUAAUUAUAAAAAUAAAAAAAUAUAUACCUUUAAAAAAGAGAAGGGAUGUAAAGGGAUGAUCAAAGCAGAGAAGCAAGAUGCGAAAAGCAGUUUGCGACGAUGACGAAAGAGAGCUGCGAAAAGGAGAUACUGCGUGCACUCGGUCCGUUCGCGCAUAUAUUCUCUUCUUCUCUUUUUACAACCAUAAAAAAUUACAAGUUUUAAAAAUUUAUUAUCUAUGCAUCAAGUGUUUUUAAAAAAAGCCAUUGAUGUACAAAAAGAAAUUAUCAAAAAAGUAGUGUUCAAAAUUUACAAUUUUUUAUAUGUAGACCUUUUAGAAGUUAUACACGACACCGAACAAAAAUUGUUGGAAGAUUUUAAGAAUUAAUUACACGAAAACUUUUAUGUUUAUUAUUACUACUACAUAGCUUAAUUAGGCCCAUCAUUGCAAUAACGGAUCCGAUUUAGAUUCCGGAGUUUCCAAACACGACCCAAUAUCGGCCCUUGGGCCUUGGCCCAUCAUUGUUACAAAUCCAAGUGUGUGCGCGCGCGCGUGUGUGUGUGUGUGUGUGUGUGUUUUUUUCCCCUAAAUUGUGUAGCCUCCUCAAGUCAAUUCGAUUUAGAUUUGUUUUCUUUCUACUGCUAGUAUUUUUUUUUUUUUACUGUCUUAGCUAUAGUUUCGGUGUUGAUAUAUUAUUAUGAUAAUUAUGAUUCAAUGUGUUCCACACUUCGUGCUUGAGUGUUAAAACUUUCGACUGCAUGGACUUCAAACGUAAAUCAAGCACUCAAAUUUCAGCCCCUGCUACUCAUUCUUAAUGUGUCUUCUUUAUUCUUCUGGUCAUAGUUCAAAUCAAAUCUUUAAGGUAGCAUUUGGUUCGGGAACAAGGGGGGAAUAGGCUCUUGUUUCCCUCUUUGUUCCCAAACAUGAUGUUUGGUACCCGGAAACAAUAGUUCCAGGGUUUCAAGAACAAGCCGGUAUAAGACUGGAGCUGCUGUUCCACCUUUUUUCUGGGGCAAGCUUGUUCCUGGAUGAGAACAAAGUUAAUUAAAAUCUAAAUUUAAUUUUAAUUACAGUAAAUUAUUAAUUAAUAUAAUUAAUAUAUUUAAAUUAUUAUUUAUUACUUUAAUAAUUUAUUUAUUUAUUUAUUAUUUAUAAUUAAUUAAUAAUAAUUAGAUAAUUAUUAUAAUUAAUUUAUUAUUUAUAAUUAAGUAUUAAUAAUUUAUAAUAUUUAUUAUUAUUUAUUAAUAAUUAUUAAUAAUAAUAAUGCGAUAGUGAUUAUGAAUUUAUUAUUUAUAAUUAAAUUAUAAUAAUAGUUAAUUUAGACAGAUCGCUAUUAGAUGUUAUUAAUUUAUUAUUUAUUCAAUUUUAUUAAUAAUUAUUUAUUCAUUUAUUAGAUAAAUAUUAAGUAAUUGUUAGCGCUUAAUAAUGUAGAUAGAUCUCAGUAUUAGUAUUCAAUUUAUUAUUUGAUAAAUGUAAUUAUUAAUAAUUAGGAUAAUAUAUUAAUUAUUACUAGUAAAUUAAUAUAUUAUUGUUAUUAAUAAUUAUUAUAAUAUUAUAUAUUAUUUUUAUUAAUAAUUAUCAAUUAUUAUUAUUAUUAAUUAGAUAUUCAAUAUUGUUAAUUUAUUAUUUAUAAUUAUUAUUAUUUAUAAUUAAUUAUUAAUAAUUAAUUUAUUAUUUAUUUUUAAGUAAUAUUUUGAUGUUAAUUAAUUACAUAAUAUAAUUUUAAUUUCAAAUUAUAACUCUUAUUCCUCUUGUUCCAAUCUAAUCAUCCAAAUACUAUUUACCUUAUUCCAAGAAAUAACCCAAUUUUAAUCCAAACGUUAAAUUGGUCUAGUUCCUGCUUAUAUCUGAAUUUGUAUCUAUUCCUAGAAUUAGCAGUUCUUACUUAUACCGGAACCAAACGCAGCCUAAAUUAUCUUACACUAUAAUUACAAUAAUAUUUCUAAAUACUGUGCAGAUAAUUAAUUAUUUAGUCAUGCUUUGCUCACCAUGACACGAAUCCUACGUGCCCAACAAGCUUAGUUAUUCCUCCUGUUCCACAGUCCAAAUGCAAACUCGGUCCAACUACAAAAGUUUGUACAAGUACAUAUUCAUUACCUUGCACGAGUCUUAAGUUCCAGGUAGAUAGUAUCCAAAUAACCUAACACACGAUCUGAAAGCAACUUAAUUAUUGAUUACUGAUUUGUUGUCCUAAUCAGAAUGGUUUUAUAUUAUUGACUAAGUUGCCUGUUGACUACCCUUUUCAUUAAUUAUUUUCUCCCAUUCAUCACGCAGUGAGAGAGAUUGAAACCAUUUUUUUCCACACUAUAAUCAUAUUAUUAAUAUUAAUGAUACGGUCUUAAUUAAUAUCUAAAAUUUCUCUAAUUAACUAAAAACUUGAGACUCGGGCCAAAAAGAGAGGCGGCGUGUUAGGUGGUGUCAUAGAAACCGACUCCUCUUAGACCCGGGCCAUGCAUGGAGGAGAAGCACAUUUUAUUGGUCCUCAAAAUUUUAAACUCGAAAUUUGGGAUAUAUCACUUUAGUCUUAUGCGCUGUGUUUGGUUCAAAAUUUGUAAUAUAUUAAAACUAUUAUAUAUUUUAUAUUUAGAAUUGCAAAUCUGCUCCUAACUUAUCAAGUCGCUUGCUUUGAAAAAUUAUAUUUUUUAUUAAUAUACUACUAAUAAUUCUUAUCAAAUAUGAAAAUAAAAAUAUACCUCCUGCUCUGUAAUAAUUAUAAUAAUUUAAUAUUGCUAUAAUAAUUUUAUUAUUUUAUUAAUAUUUUUUAUAAUUAUUUAAUUUGAAUUGAACGAAAAUAAUUUGAAUAUUUUUAAUAAAAAAAAUAUGAAGAAUUUUUGAAAAAAAAAAAAAUGCUAGCCACAAAUCUAACUUUCGUGCACUACAAAUCCAUUGGUCCUCCGCUGCUCUCCUAAAGUUUGAUCCAAUUGUAAUUGGUGGGCGACACAAUUGUUAUAUAGAUGGAAGAUUAAGGGUUGAGAAAUUUAAUUGUGGUUAGAUCUACACUUUUGAUUAUUUUUAUCCGUUAGAUCAUACCAUUCAACCAACCACCCACUCAAUUCUAGAGGGCCCACAUCAUCCUAACCGCAUAUCUCUUAAUCCAAUGGCCAAAAACUUGGUAGCACAGAUGACUUGGUGCUAUUAAUAGUAUAUUAGUCUAGUUAUAUAUAUAUAUAUAUAAAGAGAGAGAGAGAGAGAGAGAGUUGAGCUAGAAUACUAUGAGUAGCAAACGGUUCCGUUGCUACCCAUUUGUUCUUGAUGAUGAAGCCUUCGAAUCGACGAUUGACAUCGUUGAAUAUAAUUUAUAAAACUUGAAAUAUCUAGAAACCAAAUUUUAAAUGUUUUUGAUAUUAUUAAUUUAAUGAUCAAAGGGUUUCAAAAUUUAUAAUUUUAAUGAUCGAUAUGAGGUGUUUUUUCGUUUAACGGUAUAAAGAUAUCCAAAUCGAUUGAAUUUUGGUUAGAAAAUUUUUUUAACUUUUUAGAACAAGAUCUAUACUCUCGAUCUUGAUUACAAGAUUUCUAUCAUCACUUUUUAAAGAAUAUUUAUUUUCAGCCAUUCAUUUUGUGUCCAUUUGAUGGACAAGGGAACAAUAUCUAAAAAGCAUAAAAUUUGAUUGUUAGAUGCUUUAAGUAGUAUAGAUCGUAUUUAACGGUAUCAAUCGACGAUUUAGAAGCUCCAUCAUCGAAAAUAAAUGGGCGGCAACGGAGUCCGUUUGCUACCGAUAGUUUUCUAGCUCAACUCUCUCUCUCUAUAUAUAGAGUUCAGCUAUGGUACUUUUAAAAAUACUAAGCACUUGGUGUUUAUAAAUUUUUCGCCGUUGGAUCUAACUCUUUGAUUGUUUCCACCCGUUAUAUCAUAUUAUUCGACCAACCAUCCAUUCAAUUUUAAAAAAUUAUUAUCAUCCUAACCGUACAUACCUUAAUUUAAUAGUCGAGAAAAUUUAUAAAUACCAAUAACGUGAUAUUCUCUAGUAGUAAAGAAGGAUGGAGAGUAAAAUAAAAGAAACACUUCCAAGAGCUAAAAGUUAAUUCUGAACGUCACAUUUUUCUUUUUUUUUUAUGGUAUUUACGCAUUAUCUUCGUAAACCUUAAAAAAAAAAAAAAAAAAAAAAAAAAAAAAAAAAAAAAAAAAAAAAAAAAAAAAAAAAAAAAAACUUCUCUCUCUCUCUGCUUACUAUCUACGGUGAGGUACUGCGUAUGCCGUAGCCUCCAGGAUAUGGCCACGUGUACUCAAAGAUUCGUGCUGCUGAUGUGAUUCGGUCAACCAUUUUAGUUGGGAAGGUUGAGACAUGUGAGGUCGACAUACAACUGCGCGAAGCUUCUAAAGGCUAAAAAGCGCAAAGGUCCAACUUUGACUCGCAAACUAGGCUUUAAAAUUUGACCGAGGAUUAUAACUUUUCCCACAAGUAUAUAUUUAUAUAUAAAAAGUAUUUAUUUGUGGUACCGACUCAAAAGUUUAAUUCCUUCAAUUUGUUAAUUGGUUCACACCAAACAAAUUUUACCUCUCAAUUAUCGCGUGUGUCACAAUUGCUAGCUAUAUAAAAAAAUAUUUAAGAUUAUUUUUGCUUUUAAUCUAGUUUUCUAAAUUUGAAAACUCGAAAGUUUCUCCUAAUUCAAUAUUAAAUGUUCUAAAAUAAAUAAGAAUUCGAACCGAACUGAGUAACUAAAUACUACUUCGAUUUUUCAAAUUAUUAAAGGUUUCGAUGUGGCGUUCUUAUUAAUUUGGUUUGUAGCAAUAACCGCUCGUCAUCAUUUAAAUUAUAAGCUAAGGUAUCGUUUGGCUCGGUAAUAAGCAAAAAGUGGGUAUUCCAGAAAUAGGUAUAAAUUGAGGUAUAAGCGGGGAUUAGAUCAAUUUUGCGUUUGGAUGAAAAUUGAGUUAUUUCUAGGAAUAAGAAAAAUAACGUUUGGUAAGGUAAGAUGGAAUAAGAUUGAAAGUGGGUAGUUAUAAAUAAAAAUUAAUAAUAUUAUCACUUUUUUAUUUAUAUUAGAAUUUAAAUUUUUAUAUUUUAUAUUUAUAUUUUAAAAUUUAAAAUUUUAACUUUUAAAUUUCAAAUUUUGAAAUUAAAAUUUAAAAUUUAAAAUCUCAAAUUUUAAAUUCAAAAUUUAAAUUUUAAAUUUCUAACUUUAAAUUUAAGAUCAAAUUUAAAUUUGAAAAAAAAUAAAAUUCAAAUUUAAAAUUUCAAAAAUUUAAAAUUUCAAAAUUUAAAUUUAAAAUUUAAAAUGUGGAAUUUAAAAUUAUAAACUUUAAUUUUGAGAUUACAAAUUUUAAAUUUUAAAUAUAAUUUAUUAUAAUAUUUUAAAUUUUAAAUUUAUUUAAAUUUUAAAUUUUAAUUUAUUUUAAUAUUUAAAUAUAAUUUGUUAUAAAAUUUAUUAUAAUAUUUAAAUAUAAAUAAUAUGUAUUAAUAUAGUACAAUUAAUAAUUUAAUAAUAAAAAUAAUGUAUUAUAAUAUAUAAUAUAUUAUAUUUAUAUAAUUUAGUUUUAAUUUAUUUUUUAAUUUUAAUUAAGUUUGAAAUUAAGCAUGGGAAUAGCACUAUUCCAUCAAAAUGAUGGAAUAGUAAAAAGCUUGCUAUUCCGGGAUAACUGGGAAUAGCAAGCUUUGACCGGGAUAAAAUAUCCCGGUAAAAAAUGAUCCCGUUUGGCGGAAUAGCGGGGAUAACUUUCGUUAUCCCCGCUUAUCCCCCGAACCAAACGGGGCCUAAGAGUAUAGAUUUCUUUAUACUUAUGUGAAAAGAAUGUGCAGCUAGGAUGAUAGUGAUUCUCCAAAGUUGAGUGGAUGGAUGAAUAAAUAGUAUAAUCUAAUGGAUGGAAACGAUCAAAUGAGCCGAAAAUUUAUGAGUAUAAAAAAAAUCUAUAUUUAUGAAAAUAUAGUAGUCGAACUAUAUAUAUAUAUAUAUAGAGCAGGGCUGCUGUGCUCUUAGGAGAACGGAGGCUUCCGUGCUCCUGAGCUGUUUUCGAUGAUGAAAUUUUCGAAUCGACGAUCGGCUCCGUUAGACUUGAUCUAGCCUAUUUGAAGUUUAUAGAAAAUAAUUUUUGCAAUUUUUUGACAUCAUUUAAUUACCUAGUGAUCGAAAGGAUUCAAAAUUCAUAAUUUUUAAUGGUUGAUAUCUGCCGUUUUCAAAUUUAACGAUGUAGAAGUAUUCAAAUCAGAUAAAAUUUUGAUACAAAAUUCUUUAUACUAUAUACAACAAGAUCAAUAUUUCUGAUCGAAAAUUUUAGUGAUAUAUCACUACUUUUUAUAGAAUUUUUAUUUUCAGCUGUUAAAAAUUAUUGAUUUUAAAUCAUUUCGAUUGCUAGGUAAAUAAUAUCGAAAAAUCACAAAAAUUAUUUUUCAGAAACUUUAAAUACGCUCUAUAUAUAUAUAUAUAUUCUGAACAAAAAAAAGUUAGCACAACGUAAGUGGCUACAUACAUGUGACGUUCACAAUAUUCCAGAUUCAAUCUAAGAAUAAAUUUUCUUUCUCAUGCACUUCUCUAAAUAUGAAUUAUUUAAUUAAUAAGAGUCCAUCCCAACAUAUACAAUAUGUCAACACCUACCGUAUGGGACUUCACACACAUGUGAAAGAGGGAAUAAAUAAACGCUAGAGGAGACGCGGCCACCCACGUAGUAGUUAGCUAGGUAUUGAUCGAGUCAUUAUUAUAAUCACAUUACCGCGUUUGUAGAGACUCGGAUCGUGCUUGGAACAGUGGACAAAUUAGACCAAGUCCAAAUCCAAAUUGAACCAUGCACGUUUCCCUCGCCUAUCUACUAUCUAUAUAAAGCCUCCCUCUAACCCUCAUCUCUUCAUCAAAUUCAUUUGCUCCCUUAAUUACCACUACUUCUAUUCUAAUACUUCACCUUUGAUUAAUUUGCUUAAUUAAGGUGAACUAAGCUUAGCAGCCUUAGAAAUGGCUUCUUCCUACACAUCUCUAGCUUUGGGUGCUCUUCUUCUCAUGAGCUGCGUCUCAUGGGGCUCGGCCGCCACCUACACCGUCGGCGAUUCCCAGGGUUGGGGCUUUAACGUCAACUACUCAACUUGGGCUAGCAACAAGAAGUUCGUCGUGGGCGACAAACUUGGUUAGUUCUCCGAACCACCUAAAUUAUCAAAUACAGUAAUUCAAUCUCUUUUUGUUAAUUCGUAUUUGUUAAUGCCUUACUGAAGUAUGACUUGAACUCGAGACCUAUUAUUUAGUAAUGUACAUGUUUGCUGAUACUGUUGUAUUUGCAAAUACAGUUUUCAACUAUCAAACCGGCCAACACACGGUCGCGGAGGUGAGCUCGAGCGACUACAACUCGUGCUCGACCAGCAACCCCAUCAGCACCAACACCAAUGGGCCCACCACCAUCACCCUCGCCACCGCGGGGUCCCACUACUACAUCUGCACCAUCCAGAGCCACUGCUCCGCCGGCAUGAAGCUUGCCGUCAACGUCGCCGCCUCCUCAUCCUCCUCUCCAUCCACACCGCCACCGAAGUCGUCAUCCCCCGCCCCGCCCGCCACCCCUACGACACCCUCCACGCCGACAACACCCUCCACUCCGACCGCAGCCGCUCCCUCCACCCCGACUGCCUCCGCGCCAACCAACCACCAAUCCGGAGCUGCCUCUGACCUCGUGCCGACCUUAUCGGCUGUGGCGGCGAUCGCCGGGCUCGUGGCGAUGAUCUUCUAAGCCCGGCCAGGGUGGAGACAGUGCCAUUGUACACUCUCUCUCUCUCUCUCUCUAGAUCUCCCUUUUUGGAGACAUUAUUCUUUUUGUUGUAUCUUAGGUGGUGAUUAGAUCGUUUUACGGGGUAUACGUUGAUUUCGUUACGAGGGUUGAUUACCAGGUGUACGUAAUUUUACGGCUUCAGAUAUUUUGUGCGCGUGGAGUGUGUUCACAUUUGUAUCUUGAGAUUCAUUACAUUUACUGAUUCAAUAAAGGACAUUACUUUGUACCAACCCUUUCACGUACUUUUGCUUUUCCUUUUUCUUUUUAAGACAAAAAAAAGGUUUAGACUAAAUUUAAACCGAUGUCAUGGAUGACGCAAUUUUAUUUUAAAUGAAGAUCGGUUUUGGGUUGAAAGACUACACUUCCAAAAAUUUUCAAGUCGAUUUUAUACUUGACUGCUGCGCUUUAUUUUAUUUUAUUUUGAGAAAAAGAUAGCAGAUUAUCUGUUUUGUUCAUAAGAAGAAUGAACUAAAUAUCUGAUAUUAGAGAUGAAAAAAUAAAUCUAGAUCAAAAAAAUAAAAAAUAAAAAAAAAUUACAGAAGUAACACUGAAAAGUUAAGAAAUUAUGAAAAAAAUCAUUUGGGUGAGAGAGAUUUCUUUCGACUGGAUCUCCAACCGCUUGAUCUUAUUUUUUGUUGGGCUUUAUUUAAGAUUGCAAAAAAAUUACAAUAAAUAUAAAAAAGUAUGACAAAAACAUAUUUUAUUUAAGUUUAUAUAUAUAUUUUCGUGUUUUGUAUAUUAUAACAAAUUGAUAUAUCAGAAAAUGCAGAAAUUUAUAUCAGUUGAGUCAUGCUGCGUGUCUAAGAUGAGUUGACAGUUGGGUUAGGUUUGACAGGUGGGUUUUGACUAGAUUUACGAGUUGAGUUGCACUGAAUUUAGUUGAUGGGUAAUGUUCGGUCAAAUUAAUAAUAUUUUUUUAAGAAAAAAAUAAUAAGCUAUUGAUUUUGUUUUUUUAAUCAAAAUAAAUUUAGUUAGAAAUGUAAAAUAAUUAGAUUUCUAAUUUGGGGCCAUGAAUACUAAUCAUCAACCUUUUUGACACUUGUGUUAAAAAUAAUCAGUUAAACUAAUAAUUUGUUAGAUUAAUAUAUAUAUAGAAAGAGAGAGAGCGUAAGACUACUGUACUAAUAGAAGCACAGCAGUGCUUAUACUUCUAAGUUUGUAACUAUUCAGCAAUUUUGAUGGGUGAUUAGAGUUAAUAUCUCAAUUCUCUCUUAGGUUUUUUUUCUCUCUUACUCUUAUCACCCAUCUUUUUAUAGUUAUCAACUUAGAAGUAUAAGUACUCCUUUACUCCUAAUAGCGUUAUAAUGCUAUUAUAUAUCUAUAUCUAUAUAAUAUAUAUAUAUAUAUAUAUAUAUAUAUAUAAUAUAUAUAUAUAUAGAGUCUGCUAACUAUACUUUUAUGAGUAUAGAGUCUCUUGUAUUCAUAAAUUUUUAGCCGUUUGAUCCACCCUUUAAUCCAUUUUACCCGUUAGAUUAAUACUAUUCAACCAACCACUCACCAACCCCUAGCCAGCCCACUAUCAACCUAAACUGUAAUCAUUCUCAUCCUAACCACAUAUUUUUUCAUCUGAACAGCUAAAAACCUUAUGAGUAUAAGAGGCUAUAUACUCCAUAAGAGUAUAGUAGCCCCAGCUAUAUAUAUAUAUAUAUAUAUAUAUAUAUAUAUAUAUAUAGUGGCGGCUAGAUGCUUAUGGAAGCACGGAGGGCUUCCGUGCUUCCACUUUGAUUUCGAUGUUCGGACAUUUGAGAUCGACGAUCGCUCCGUUAGACUUGAUCUAGAGUAUUGAAAAGUAUCUAGAAAAUUAAGUUUGCAAUUUUUCGAUAUCAUUUGCUAGUGAUCAAAGUGCUCAAAAUCAACCGCAUGAAAAUAAGAAUCUUACAAAAAUAAUGAUGAUAUGACAUUAAAAUUUUAGAUCAAAGUUAUUGAUCUUGUUUUAUAUGUAUAAAGAAUUUUCUAUCAAAAUUCCAUGCAUUUUGGAUUUUUCUACAUCACCGUUAACUUGCAACCUGCUCACCAACGGCCGUUAAAUAUUGAUUUUGAGCCCCUUCGAUCACUAAGCAAAUGAUAUCGAAAAAUCGCAAAAUUUAUUUUCUAGGUACUUCAAAUACUCUAGAUCAACUCUAACGGAGCCGAUCGUCGCUUCGAAAGUCCAAACAUCGAAAACAGAGUGGAACACAAGCAGGGCUCCAUGCUUCCUUAAGCAUACCAGCCCCAUAUAAUAUAUAUUUAUUAUAUAUAAUAUAUAUAUAUAUAUAUAUAUAUAUAUAUAUAUAUAUAUAUAUAUAUAUAUAUAUGAGUAGGGCUAGAUACUUUGUAAAAGUACUCAUGGGGGUGAUACUUGUGUGUUUUUAGCCCUUGAUGGAGAGAUUGUGAGGUUGAAGAUGACGGUGGUUAGUGUGGUAAGUGCAAUAGUGUUUAAUCCAAGGGCUAUUAAUAAUCAAAAAGUAGAUCCAAUGACUUAAAACCUAAUAGCACCAUGAUGGUGAUACUUGUAAAAGUAUCAUAGCUCAACUCUAUAUAUAUAUAUAUAUAUAUAUAUAUAUAUAUAUAGUGAGACUACUAUACUUCUGGAAGCACUGAGCCUUUCGUGCUUCCAGGUCGUUUUCCAUGUUGCGACUUUCGAAUCAUCGAUCGGCUCCGUUAAAUUUAAUCUAAAGUAUUUGAAGUACCUAUAAAAUAAAUUAUAUGAUUUUUUGAUAUUAUUUGCCUAGUGAACGAAGGGGCUCAAAAUUAACAGCUGAAAAUAAAAAUCUUACAAAACGUGAUAAUAUGACAUUAAAAUUUUAGAUCAAAUAUAUUGAUCUUGUUUUAUAUACUAUAAAGAAUUUUCUAUCAAAAUUUCACGUGAUUUGGAUAUUUCUACACUGUUAAACUUGCAAACGGCUCAUUAUGACCGUUAAAAUUAUUGAUUUUGAGCCCCUUCGAUCACUAGGCAAAUGAUAUCGAAAACUUAUAAAAUUUAUUUUCUAGGUACUUCAAAUACUCUAGAUCAAGUUUAAUGGAGCCGAUCGACGAUUCGAAAAUCGCAACAUGAAAAACGACCUCGAAGCACGGAAGGCUCCGUGCUUCCAGAAGCAUAGUAACCAAAUGGGCUCCUUUGCCACCCAUUUGUUUUCGAUGAUGGAGUCUCCAAAUCGACGAUCAGCAUCGUUGAACAUGAUCUAUAUCACUUAAAGUGUUUAGAAAUCAAAUUUCAUAUAUUUUCAAUAUUAUUCUUUUAUCCAUCGAGUGGACACAAAAAUGAACGGCUGAAAAUAAAUAUUCUUUAAAAAAUAAUGAUAGGAGUCUUGUAAUGAAGAUCAAGAGUAUAGAUCUUGUUUUAAAUUAUUUAAAGAAUUUUCUAACAAAAAUUCAAUUGAUUUGAAUAUCUUUACGCCGUUAAACGAGAAAACGCCUCAUAUCGACCAUUAAAAUUACAAAUUUUGAAACCCUUUGAUCAUUAGACAAAUGAUGUCGAAAAGAUAUGAAAUUUGAUUUCUAAACACUUCAAGUGGUAUAGAUCAUGUUCAAUGAUGUCGAUUGUCGAUUUGGAGGCUCUAACAUCGAAAAUAAAUAGGUGGCAACGGAGCCUAUUUGCUAUCGAUAGUAUUUUAGCUCAACUCUCUCUCUCUCUCUCUAUAUUUAUAUAUAUAGUAUAAACUAAAUUUUAUUAUCAGAUGAUUCCAAAGAAAAAGAUGAUUCCAAAGAAUAAAAAUUUUUAGAAGACCAAAGAAGUUAUAAAACCGAAUCGACUUAGAAUCUGCUAAACCUUCACAUCAAAAAUUUCGAAUGAAUUUUUAAUUAACACAUAUGAUAUGAUAAAUGUUAUGAUGUGAAAUCAAGUUGUAUAAUCGUAUAAAUAUAAAAAAUAUAAAUAUUGUCAUUAAAUUUUUUUUUAAGAAAUAGAUAAUAUGUUAUCCAUUUCGUUUAUUUCAUUUAAAAAUAAAUUUAAUUGAAAAUAUGAAUCAUCUAAAAUUUAAAUUUGAAAUUUCGAGAUACCAAUCAUCAAAUUCUUUACUACUUGCUUGAUUGGUAAUAUAUUGCCAUUAAUUAGUGCCCAAAAAAUUCCAAUUGGGAGGUUGGGAGAGAGGCGGCGUGUUUGGUGGCUAAGUGCCAAGUGGCAACCAACCCAAGAAAAAAGUAACUAAAAACUUUCCUCAAAACAUCUCGUGGACACGUUUCCUAACUAAAAGGCAAUCGCAUUCACAAUUAAAAAAAUGGGAUAAUUACUUAUAUAUUCCUCGUGCGUCUGAAAAUAUUCGAUAUACUCUUUUUUUUUUUCUUUCUAAAAUGCCCCUCAUAUGUUCCACCAUUAUUAUAAAAUACCCCCACAGUUAUCUCCUGUUAAGUUAACCUGAGUUAAACGUGAGUUAAAUAUCUAUCACAGUUAAAAAAAAUUAAAAUGCCAAUUUUGCCUUUAACUUAAGGGCAAAUAAGAAAGAUUGGUUACGGUAGAGGGAUAUAUUGGAAAAAAUAAAAAGUUGAAAUACUUUUUGUACCCCUAACUUUAAGAGCAAAUAAGAAAGACAAUGAUGGUGGAAUGGUAUAUUUGAAAAGGGCAAAAGAGUAAUUUUAUAGAGAUAACAGUGUUACUUAAUAGAUUUUAACUCUAAAGGUAUAUUAGAAAUAGGUUGGAACGUAGGAGGGGUAUUUUCAAUAUUAGCCUUCUAAGAGGGGUAAAUCGAAAAAUCGGAAACUUUUCAGAGGUAUAUAAGAAAUUGCCCCUUAAAAAAUUUUCGGAUUCGUGUCGCUUACGUAUAUACCGAAUGAUAAACAAAAUGAUCUUAGUAUAAAAACUGUUACGUGUGUAUUUCUAUUUUUCAUUAAAAAAUUUCGUAAAAAGUGAAUAAAUAUAGGAAAGAGGGGAAAAAACAAAAAAUAAAAAAGAGAGCCUUCUAUUAUUGACCGAAAGUUUAAAUAAAUAUAAGUUAUUAUUUCUUUGAACAAAUUUGAUCCGAUUAAAAAAGUUCACACUAGGAUGGUAAAAAUAGUUUUUAUUAUAAUUAAAAUAAUUAUUCCCAAAUGAGAUUAUUAACAAACUAAUGUUAUUAAUUAGUUUUAAGUUGUUCGUUAGAUAUAUCCUUGCACAUUGUUAUACGUGUUAAAAUUUUCCUUUAUAUUCAUGGGCGAACUAGGUUUUGAUAUUAUAUGAAACGAUUCAAACAAAUUCGAAAGUUUAAGCGGAUACAUAGAAGUAUUCUUACACAUGAUAUGCAUCAGGUUGAGAUUAACUUGGUACAUCGCGAUCAUGGUGCCAUUUGAACAAAAAAUUGAUGAGGAUGGUCCCUAACAUAAGGUUGUCUCAAUUACCAUUAUUUAUCACAUAGAUGACACGCAUCUUAAAUCUUCUUAAACGGUAGUUAGACACUGACCUUAUUAUUUUUCUUUUUCUCUUUUGAGAUAGUUUAGACUCAAUUGCAUGCUAUAUGAAUGUGAGGUCCACAUGCAUACAUACAUGCACUUGAGGUCCACACAUCAUUUUCAAAUGUGACAAUAUUGUAAGCAUUUGACUGAUGCGUAUUUUCCAGGGCACACUAUGAUUUGAUUAAUGUACGCUCCAUUCCUACAUAACAUGUCAACACCAACCAUAUGAGGAGGUCAAAAACACAUGUUGAACAUAAAGCUCGGAGGAAACGAGCAGGCAUUUCCUACACCCGGUGUAUCCAUAUAUCUCAAACAUUUGUGAUCAAUAUUUAUAAUGUAUGGGCAUUUCAAGUAUUUUCCAUAAAAAGUUAUAUAAAAAUUUGAAUAAUCUAUAACAUCAGAAUUAAGGACAGAAAAAUCAAGUUAUAUACAUAUAUAGAGUUGAGCUGGAAUGCUUUUUUUUUUUUUUUUUUGAGAAAGAGUUGAGCUGGAAUGCUAUCGGUAGCAAAUCAGGUCCGUUGCCACCUAUUUGUUUUCGAUGAUAGAGCCUUCAAAUUGACGAUCGGCACCAUUGAACAUAAUCUAUACCACUUGAAGUAUUUUGAAACCAAAUUUUAAAUAUUUUCGACAUUAUUGACCUAAUGAUCAAAGGGUUUCAAAAUUUAUAAUUUUAAUGGUAGAUAUGAGGCGUUUUCUCGUUUAACGGUGUAAACCUAUCUAAAUCAAUUGAAUUUUGGUUAGAAAAUUUUUUAAACUAUUUAGAAUAAGAUCUAUACUCUUGAUCUUGAUUACAAAAUUCCUAUAAUCACUUUUUCGAGAAUAUUCAUUUUCAGCCGCUCAAUUUUAUGCCCACUUGAUGGACAAAAGAACAAUAUCAGAAAAGCAUGAAAUUUGAUUUCUAGAUACUUCAAGUAGUAUAGAUCAUAUUCAAUGAUGUCGAUCGUCAAUUUGGAGGCUCCAUCAUCGAAAAUAAAUGGGUGACAACGGAGCCCGUUUACUAUCGAUAGUAUUCUAGCUCAACUCUAUAUAUAUAUAUAUAGAGAGAGAGAGAGAGAGAGAGAGUGGGGCUACUAUACUCUUAUGAGUAUUGGGCCCUUCAUACUCAUAACUUGUUUUCGAUGAUGGGGCUUUCGAAUCGACGAUCCACUCCAUUAAAUAUGAUCUAAAGAACGCAUUUAAACUACCUAGAAAUCAAAUUUCACGCACUUUCGAUAUUGUUCUUUAUCCAUCAAAGUGAACAAAGAAUGAAUGGCUGAAAAUAAAUAUUCUUUAAAAAAUGAUGAUAGGAGUCUUAUAAUCAAGAUCAAGAGUAUAGAUUCUUGUUUUAAAUAGUUUAAAGAAGUUUCUAACAAAAAUUCAAUUGAUUUUGAUAUGUUUAUGCCGUUAAACGAGAAAACGCCUCUUAUCGACCAUUAAAAUUACAAAUUUGAAAUCCUUUGUCAUUAGGCAAAUGAUGUCGAAAAGAUUUGAAAUUUUGAUUUCUUAAGCACUUCAAGUGGUAUUAGAUCAUGUUCAACGGAGCCGAUCGUCAUUUGGAAGUUCUAUCAUCGAAAAACAAAUAGGUAGUAAAACGGCUCGUUUACUACUGAUAUAGAAUUCUUAGAGCAAAACUCUAUAUAUAUAUUAUAUAUAUAUAUAUAUAUUAUAUAUAUAUAUAAUAUAUAUAUAUAUAGUAGUAUAUAAGUUGAGGCUACUAUGCUUCUGGAAGCACGGAGCCUUCCGUGCUUCCAGAUCGUUUUCGAUGUUGCGACUUUCGAAUCGUCGAUCGGCUCCGUUAAACUUGAUCUAGAGUAUUUGAAGUACCUAGAAAAUAAAUUUUGUAAUUUUUCGAUAUCAUUUGCCUAGUGAACUAAGGGGCUCAAAAUCAACGGCUGAAAAUAAAAAUCUUACAAAAUAUGAUAAUAUGACAUUAAAAUUUUAGAUCAAAGAUAUUGAUCUGUUUUAUACAGUAUGAAGAAUUUUCUAUCAAAAUUUUACGUGAUUUGGAUAUUUCUACACCGUUAAACUUGCAAACGGCUCAUCAUGACCAUUAAAAUUAUUGAUUUUGAGUCCCUUCGAUCAUUAGGUAAAUGAUAUCGAAAAAUCAUAAAAUUUAUUUUCUAAGUACUUCAAAUACUCUAGAUCAAGUUUAACUGAGCCGAUCGACGAUUCGAAAGUCGCAACAUCGAAAACGAUCUGGAAGCACGGAAGGCUCCGUGCUUCCAGAAGCAUAGUAGCCUCACUAUAUAUAUAUAU
rnacentral:lncRNA from 1 species